ACCAAAGCUCGGCAAGGAAGCUGCUGUCAAGGCCAUCAAAGAAUGGGGCCAGCCCAAAUCCAAGAUCACCCACCUUGUCUUCUGCACCACCUCCGGUGUUGACAUGCCCGGUGCUGACUAUCAACUCACCAAGCUGCUCGGCCUCAAACCCUCCGUCAAGAGGCUGAUGAUGUACCAACAGGGCUGCUUUGCUGGAGGCACCGUCCUCCGCCUUGCCAAGGAUCUUGCCGAGAACAACGCCGGCGCCCGUGUUUUGGUCGUCUGCUCUGAAAUCACCGCCGUCACUUUCCGAGGCCCCUCUGACACCCACCUGGAUUCUCUCGUGGGUCAGGCGCUUUUCGGUGAUGGUGCAGCUGCCAUUAUCAUUGGUGCAGACCCAGAUACCAAAAUCGAACGCCCACUCUUCGAACUCGUCUCUGCAGCUCAGACUAUUCUCCCCGACUCCGAGGGUGCAAUCGAUGGACACCUGCGCGAAGUGGGUCUCACGUUCCAUUUACUGAAAGACGUCCCAGGGUUGAUUUCCAAGAACAUAGAGAAGAGCUUGGUGGAAGCCUUUAAGCCGAUCGGCAUCAGCGACUGGAACUCCUUGUUCUGGAUCGCUCACCCCGGUGGCCCAGCAAUUUUAGAUCAGGUUGAGUUAAAACUGGGUCUGAAGGAAGAGAAACUGAGAGCAACUCGACACGUUCUGAGCGAGUAUGGGAACAUGUCUAGUGCAUGCGUGCUGUUUAUCCUGGACGAAAUGAGGAAAAAGUCGAUCGAAGAAGGAAAGGGCACCACAGGGGAAGGCCUGGAAUGGGGCGUUCUGUUUGGAUUUGGACCAGGUCUCACCGUUGAAACCGUUGUGUUGCACAGCCUUGCUACACAAUCGACUCACUGAGUCACUCGUCCCUAUAAUACUGAAGGGAAGAUGGGAAUGGCUGCUGGCUGGGGACUGGUGAGGACUGCAUGUCAUCAUGUGCCAACCUACGCAGCUACCCUUCCUUCCUUUGUUAUGUUUUGCUUUAUUUUUAUGUUCUUUUGUGUCCCUGUGCCUUCUCUCCUUUCACACUUAAGUAAAAAUUUCUCUUUAAUUAUUUUCUUAUUUAAUAAGAGCUUGUUUAAUAAUUAAUAAUAGAUUUGAAUUGUUUUAGGUUGUUUUCAUUUUUUUUUUACUAUUUUAAAAAAUAGUUAAAUAAAAUGGUUGCAAAGAACCACCACCAAUAAAAAUUAUUUUUUUAAAAAUAUUUAAAAACGUAAAAACAAGUUGAUAACAUUUCAAUUUUUCAAAACAAAUUUUUAUUUUGGAAAACAUUUUAUUUUUUAUUUUUGAAAAUAAGAAAUAAAAAAUGGUUUUUGAUUGUUAAACAUGUCUUCAUAAUUUUUUAUUCUAAAGAACAUAUAUAAAACUAUUUUACUAAACACUUGCCAAACAAAUUCUUAAAGAAUUGUUUUCAAAAACUAUUUUCAAUUACCAUUUUUUGAUAUUUAUUUACAAAAACAUCACCAAAAGAUGUAAAAAAAAAAGAUUCUUUGACCACUUUUUCUUUAAUUUUUUCAUGUAAAAAUAACCCUUUUUGGGUGAAAAAUUAAGACAAUUAAUUGAUUAGGUAAUGAUUUAUUGAAUUAGUUAACAGAUACAAUCUUCUUGUCCUCAUUACUCAGGAGUGGAGAGACGCAUGUUUCUUCAUUAAUACCCAAAAUUGAAUUCUUCCCCUUCUUAUGUUGAUGGUUGGGAAGAGGUAACAUGGUUGUGUAGGGUUUGUUUGGUUUGAAAAAAAUUGAAGGUAGAUGUGAGGGGAAGAGAAAGAUAAGAGAGAGAACCAAGAAAAAAUAAAAAAUAAAAAACAUGAAUCCAACCAAAUAUAUUUUUCAUAGAUUUAAGUCGAGUAUAAAUAGGUUUGGAUCAAAUUCAUAUUGAUUUACAUAACCCGUUUGAUACAUAAGAUAAUUUUUGGGUUAACUUACAUAGCACGAAUUUGAUGCAAAUGGAUUCAUUUAAUGAUCCCGUUUAUUAGCCUAUUAUAUCUUUAAACUAUGUAACUUAUAUUUGAUUCAUUUUAAAUUUAUUUUUAAAUAAAUAAAUCAAUCAUAAAUAUGUUUAAUUGAAAAAUCAAGUAUAUUGACAUAUAUAAGACUUAACUCAACUUGAUUAUGAAAUAAGAGGAUUUGAUUAUUAAAUGAAUUAAAUAAUUACACGAUAUGUUAUUUAUUUAAUAAUUAUAUAGUAUUUAAGUUUAUGUUUUUGACAUAAUUAUCAUUUAUGUUAAGUUUGAGUUAGACCUAUCUAACAGAUAGCUAAGUUUUGACAUGACAUGAACACGAUCCACCAAUGCAAAUCGCCUCUACUAUGAUAUUCAACUCCUUUGCUCCAAAAUGGCAUUCCAUACUUGUUGAUUUGUCAAUAAUUUCACACAACGAUUUCUAAAGACCAUUGUAUGGUCACGUAGCCUUUUAACUUUUGAAUAGAUGUGAAUUAAUUUAUAGUCGUCAUCGGAUUUUUUGUGGCAUUCUAUGCUUGAGGUAUCUUUAGUUCAUAUGGUCCCAAGGCGUGCACGAAGUUUGGAACUCCUAUUCCUCCUUCUCUUGAAAACUACGUCAAUUAAUUCCACCCACCAUUUCCAUCUUCUUCUAAUUGUCAUGUCAUGAUUGAUAUGAGAAAAAGGUGAUCACAAUAAAUGUAUUUAUUUAUUUAUUUUUGGGUGGACAAAUUAUUCUUUUAAGGUAGGGAGGAUGGAAAAUAAUAACUAAAACCCACGAGUGAUGACCAUUUUUCAUUUUUUUUUUUUUGAAAAAAUUGUUUUUAAAACUUGAAAUGUUUUGAAGGUGGGAAUGGUGUUGUUUGAUGGUCAAGUGGGAUUGAAUGUGAAAGAUGAAGAAGUGGUUAGUAGGAUUGAAUGUGAGAGGAGAAAAGUUGACUACCUGCCUAGUGUUGAAAACAACCCAUAACUAAAGUUUGUACACCAAUUAAUAUAGGGGGAUUUUGUUUGGUAGUGUAAGAGUAGGUUUGGUAGUGUUUUCAUUUGAAAUGUUUUUUUUUUUUUUUUUAAGUAUUUUUAGGAAAAUUAUUUUAAACAUGGCUUUUAAAAAAACGUUAUAAAUGAUUUUUUAAAAUUUUAAAAAUAUUUUUUAAAUUUUAUUCAACAACUAGGUUCUAUCUGAAAACUAUUUUUUAGAAUAAUUUUUUGUUUUUCAUAAUAAAAAACACAAAAAUAUAAUAAUAAAAACCUGUUUUCUAUUUUAUGUAUUUCAGAAUAGAAAACAUAAUAUUUUUUGAGAUUUUUUUAAAAUUAUUUUUUAUUAUUUUCAAUUUUUUUUUAACAAUUAUUUUUAAAAAUAAUUAUAUAAACAUGUAGAUUAUAGAUAUAAAAAAUAUUUUAAAAAUAUAUAUAAAAAUAUUAAAAAUAAAUUAAUAACAUCUUAAGUUUAUGAAUAAAUUUUUUUUUUUAUAAAAAUUAACAAAUAAUUUUCAAAAACUAUUUUUUAUAAUUAUUUUAGAAAAUAAUUACCAAAGAUAGCUUUUUUUUUUUUCUUUUCUAAAAAAGAAUUUUUAGGGUAAAAACAAUUCUUAGAAUCGGUACUAAACGGAAUCUUUUGUCAUAUCAUGAUUAACUAUGGGUGUUUUCCCACCUAAAAAUAAUUUGUUGUUCCAAGAUGACCAUCUUGGUCAAUACCUAAUAGUAUCUCCAAUCAACUUUACAUAAACUCUCUCAUAGGGAGGACAUGGAAGUGAUUAAUUUAAUUAAGGGAGCCUUAAUUUGGUAGAUUAAUUUAAUGUUUUAAUAUGAUUUAAUAAUUAAGUUCAAUAUGUUUGAUAAAGUAAUUUAAUAUCAUAAUCUAAAGCCAAAAUAAUUAAUUUACCUCCAUGGUUCAUUUUUUAAUAAUUAAUUUACAUUAAAUAUAAAUAGAUUUAUUAUUUAAGAUUAAUAAAAGUAAGUAUUAGUUCAACUCAAUGUGGAUAGAUAGUAGUUAAAUUAGAAUAGAUUUUAAAUUAAUUUUGUAAAACAACUUAACACUUUAAGUAAAAUUAAGGAAUAAGUUUUAAGUAAUCCACUUAAGAAUAAUUUAACUGAAAGUUGAUUAAUUAAGUAAUAAGUAUUAAAUUUUAUCAAAACAUCCACUAACUGAUUUUUUUUCAACAAAUUUGAUAUUUUUUAUUUUUAAAAUUAGAAAAUUAUAGUAAUUUUUAUAUAAAAUGUAAGAACUCUAUAAUGCAAAGCUCGAAAAAGUGUAUUUUCAAAUGCUCAAAUGCAAAAAACCAGUUAUAGGAACCCAAGUUUUUAAAAUCCCGUUAUAGUAUCGUUGUCUAUUAGUGCUAUCUUUAAUGAUCUUAGAUAUUAUAUUCGAUUGAUAAGCGUAUCAAACUUGAACUAUUUUUAGAGGGUUUCUAUUUUAUAAUUAUUUUUAUAUGAAUUAAAAAAAAAUAUGAAUUUAUUUCAUUUUGUUAAUAUCUUAAUUUUUAAAAUAAUUUUCAUUUUUUAAGAUAAGUCUUGAAUAAUUCUUAUAUUUUAUAUAAUAUUUUAAAAAAUAAAAGGUAAGAAAUUAUUACAUUUUAUAUAAUAAUGAUUAUAUUUUUAUUUCUAAAAAUAAAAUGAAAACAAGAAAUAUAUCAAAUUAAGCAUCCACAUUUAAUUCCACAUCUAGUACAAGGGCAGGUGGAGGUGAGCAGUGAGAAGCAAAGGAGGCCAUUAACACAGCCAGCCUCCACCGGCCCAGAGCAUUCCCUUGUCCUAUUCGCUCCCAUGGACACUCCCCACCCAAUCCCUUUCUUCUGUUUUGCAGUUUUUGCCUUGCUUUUAAAAACAGUUUUUUCAUUUUUCAAAAUAAGAAAACACAUUUCAUGAGAAAUUUAAAAACAAUUUGUUUUCUUAAAAUUAAAAAAUGAAGAAUAACUAUUUUUGAAAAUUGCUUUGAAAAAUAGUUUUUGAGAACUGUUUUUGAAAACUGUUAUAUGAUGUUUUGUAAAAUAAAAGUCUAUUUAAGAAUUUGAAAUAUUUUUAACUUAUUUUUAAAUAUAUUUUAAAAAUAAUUUAUAUAUCUAGUGCCUUAUUUUUAAUUAUUCUACAUGCUUGCAUAAUUAUUUUCUAAAACAAUCUUAAAAAACAAGUGAAAAAAUAGAAAAUAACUAAAAAAUAUUUUUUAAAAAUACUAUAUUUUAUAUUCUUAAGAACAUAAAAUAUAAAAAAAAAUUUGAUUACCAAACGUGUUUUUUUGUUUUGGAAAAUAGGAAACCGUUCUUGAAAACAGUUACCAAAUAUGUUCAAAAGUGUUUUGAGAAAACAUCUUCUAGUUUUUAUUUAUUUAUUUAUUGUUUUCACUUGUGUUUUUAAAGGUUGCUUUAAAAAAAAUAAUUAUACAAAUAAGAAAAAUAAUUAAAAAUAAAGUAUUAUAGAUAAAAGUUAUUUUAAAAACAUAUUUAAAAAAUAUAUAAAAAAAUAGACCAAAAACAUUUUAUGUUUCUAAACAUACUUUUAUCCACCUGUUUUCAAAACCGUUUUUCAUAAAUGCUUUAAAAAUGAAUUUUCAAAUAAAUCCUAAAUAUCUCAAAUCCCAUACACUUAUACAUGAUAUAAAAAGUGAAAUUCAAAAAAUACUUUAUAAAGAAUAACAAAAACAUUUCAAAUAUAUUUUCAAAACAACUUAUUUUUAUCAUAAACUUUUAGAAAUUUAUCUAAAGCUUUAGUUCUACAAAUCAAGAUAUUCUUUGUAUAAUAUGCUUUUUAAUAUGUUGGCAAAUUUUAUUAAAGAAAAGAAUUUGAGUAUAUUUCAUUAAAAUGCAUAUAAAUGAAAUUUGGAGUAUGAAGUUUGCUCGAAAUUUGGUAAGCUUAUUAUGAGUGACAUUCGUGUUAGUAGGUCGCGUUCGUAUUGAAUCAAAGUCUAGAUAUUUUACUAUAUAGGUUAAUCCAAACCCGACAUGAAUAAUAAUGUUAAAAAUAUAAACUCAAAUACUACUUAAUUAUUAAACAAGUAAUAUAAUCCAUUAAAGUCAUUUAAUAAUUAAUUUUUUCUAUUUAAUAAUUAAGUUAAGUUAGUUUUUGGAUUAAUCUAUAUGAUUAAUGAUAUGUUUAUGAUUCAAUUGACUUAUUUAUUUAAAAAUAAAUUUAAAAUGAAUUAAAUAGUUAAAAAAUUUUAAUUAGAUUAAUAAGCACAAUGAUUAAAUUUGUCAAUUUGAAUGAAAUUCAUGUUACAUAGGUUGACCUAAAAACUAACUGUUUAUUAAAUGAGUUAUGCAAGUAGACACAAAUUUGACUCAAAUACAAUUAUACUUAAUUCAAACCCAUCGAAAAAUGUGUUGAAUUCGAGUUAAGUUAACGAAUCAUAUCAAAUUUUGUUACUCCUAGACCUCACCAUGAUCACUCAUAAAAUUUAAAAUACUUUAAAUUUAAAAGAGAAAAACCUAAGAUCCAAUAUGGUAACACCUAAAGAGGUUGAAUAGGUGUUUUUUUUUAAAGAUUUUAAUACAAGAGUUGAAAUAUUCAAUUAAUUCUUUUAGAAUAAUAAUAAAAAAAAAACAAUCAACCCUGGGGAAAUAAAAUAUUUUAGAUGGAAAACCCCCACAUAAAGUAUGGUGAUAAAAAAUCAUGGGUUAUGAAAUUUCGAAUGAACAAUUUACUAUAUGAAAUUAUAAUACAUAAAAUUACCUGAUAGACGUUUCCUCAAGAUUUACUCUUUAGAACUUAUGCUACGAUCCACGUUCGUGACAUAACAUCUUGAGUACUUUAGUGGAUUUUGUCUUAGCUCCCAAGGGGAUAUAGGUCUUCUUCACCAACUUAGAAUUAGUUCAAUUCUUCUUUGAGAGAUUUUAAAAAUGGGAAAGUUAGGGUCUUUUUUUUUUAUUAUUUUAUUUUAAUGAGAGCAUCAAACUCUAAAAUGAAUUUAAGUAGGGUAUACAUAGGCUAUGUCCAAAGACCUUAGAGGAUCAAAAACGAAAUUUUCCUAAAAAGAUAAAUUCUCAAUUUUCCAAAAUGCGGUCUAUUAGAAACUAACAAAGUCAGGAACAAGUGUUCAAAUGGACUAAACCACUACUUGAUUAUUUUGAGUGCUUUUAGAUAGCCACUUGAGCAUUGAUUUCACUGCUUGAGUACUUUGGCCAACACUUGAGUACUACAAAUUUUCAAAAAAGAACUUAAAAUUUUUUACCCUAGUUUUAAAAUUUUGAUCCAACCCUUACACUUUCAAAACUCAUUUGCUUUUAUUCAAACUUUUUUAGAAUUACCUGUGACAUUUUGAUUGGUCAAUAAACAACCUCAAAUUUUCAAUAAAGAGUAAAUCAUUAUCUAAAACGAUCUCAUACCAAAAUAAAAAGAACAAAUUUGUCAAUACACAAAACACAACACAAUUUAUGACGUAAUAAAAAAAUUCAUUUUGAAUAAAUAAUUUACACAAUAUAGAUAAAUUAUAUUAUUUUAUAUUAAGAUAAAGUAUAUACAUAAUUUUUUUUUUUUACUUUUAAGCUUCUCGUUGGAUGGAGCUUACGUGAUACCUUGUAGAAGGGGUUUCGCUGUCGAAUUAAAAUAAAAUAUUAUCUUUAAAUGAGAAAUAAAAUCCUGUGUGACUCCUUAUUUAGAAAAGACAUAUUUGCAAAACAGAAUCUAGAGGUCAUGUUACCUAUUGAGAAGGUAUGAUGGUGAGCUGUAACACUCCUCUAAGCCCAUAUAUGUGACAAUUAAUUAAUUAAUUAUGAAUACCAAGAAAAUAAUAAUGCAAAUGAGUAUGUACAAGUUAUAGUAAAAAUCAAUAUAUACAAAAAUAAUGAUGAAAUCUAAUUACAAGAAUGCACAAAAUAAAUAACAAGAGAAUUGUGUAAAAUGAUUUAUUGAACUAAAUAAAAAAAAGAUAUUAAAAAAAAUUAGUUUUCAAUAAAUUUUAAAGGAUUUUAUUAAAAAUGAUUUUGAAUUAAUGAUUUCAAUUUAUUUAUUUACAAAAAAUAGUGAAUUUAUUUUCUCAAUUUUAUUUGUAUUCAAUUUUCAUAAAAGUUAUUUACAGUUAUUGUAUCAAAAUUUUUUUUAUACAAAAUUUUAAUUUUGACACAAAAAUUAUUUUUACUUGCUUUUACUAGAAAAAAAAUGGAUUUUUACAAUUUUUUUUAAAAAAGUAUUUCAAUUUAUUUUAAUUUAAGAAAAGUGACUUAUACAAAUUAUUAAAAAAAUAUAACUUUAUUUUCAAACGAAUUUUUAAUUAAAAAGAAAAAAUUUAAAUCCUCUAUUUCUAAAAAUUACUUUUAAUCCCAUUUUAAUUAAUAAAAUAGAAUUUAUUUAUAAAAAAAAAAUUUUUUGGACAAUUUUAUUAAAAAAAAAUUUUGGGACAACUUUAUUUACAAAAUAAUUUUUGGAUAAUUUUAUUAAAAGCAAUUUUUGGACAAUUAUUAUUAAAUUUUUUUUCAAAUUAUAUUAAAAACAUUUUUUUUUUGGAUUUUUCUAAAAGCAUUUUUCUGAACUACUUUAUUAAAACAUAUUUAUUGAAUUAUUCCUCUUAUUCAAAUAAAAUUUAUGGUUUGUUCGAUAUUCAAUUCUAUACAUAACAAGUAAAUAUACACAAACAAAUAUUUAGAGAAACCAAUAGAAAUAAAACUAAAUAUAAGUGAGAAAUCAAAUAUGUACCCAAAUAAGCUUAUAACAAGUUCAAUGUGUUUCUAUGAUUUUUCAAGUCUCACUUUCUUCCAUGAAAUUCCGUACUCCACGUGUUAUAAAUUCGUACUUAGCCAACAUAAUUGCAAAAUGGGUCUAUACAAAAACAAAAAUAGCCUAAAUAUAAAUAUCUAGAAAUGUAUAAAAUUUGCAAUAAAUAUUCAAAUCCAAAUUCAAAUUUCAAAUUAGUUAAACAAAUUUCACCAAUUAAAAAUGGACCCAAAUUAGCAAAUAUAACCCAACAAAAAUAUCUCACAUGUUAUAGACCCUAAUAUAGAGUUUUCAAAUUAAUAGCCAAAGUAUAAGCUCAAUUAAUUAAACUCAAAACAUGAUAAAUUAAAAUAAAUCAUAUUAAAACUAAAUUUAAUAUCUCAUAAUCCAAACCUAAUUUAAUAUGCAAACUCACAUUCAAAAUAUACCACAAUAUUAUAUUAUAUCUAAAUUAAAUAUUUCAAAUGAGUAUAACCAUAUAAAUUAUCAACUAAUCUAACCCAAAUUAACAAAUUUCAAAUUAAUUCUCCAAUAACAAAUUAACCCAAAUUUCAUAUUAAUUAACAAAACUUAAAUUUUAUAUUAAUUCAAUAAUUCAAAUAUCACAAAUAAUAAUCACUAUUAAAAUCAAAUCAAGAAUAAUAAUAACAAUAGGAAAAAAAGAAAAAAAAAGAAAAAUGGGGACGUGAGGGUGGUCUCGUGAGUGGCAGUGUGUGGGUAGGAAGAGGAAAAAUGGAAAAGGAGACUAAAUGGGGGCCGACCGUGUGUGGGUGUUGGGAGUCUGUGGGAAGAGAGAGCCAUUAGAGAAGAAGCAAAAAAAAAAAAAAAAAAAAAAAAAAAACAAGAGAAAAAUGGGUGCCGAAUCGAGAAUGAGGGGAGAAGAAAUAAAAAAGAAAAAAAUUCUUAAAAUAAAGAAAGAGAGAAGAUAUGGGUAUGGCUUGGACGUGGGAGGUAAGCGGGGAUAGGUGGAUGGAUGAGAGAAGAAAGAGAAUAUAUAUAUAUAUAAUAUAAUAUAAUAAUAAAAAUAAUAAUAAAUAAAAAUAGUAAUAAAACACUUUAUAAAAUAAUAAAAAUUAAGAAUUAAAGAGUGAGUGAGUAAAAAAUAUCAUAUAUAAUUAAAAUUUAAAAUUUAAGGAUAAAAUUGAACUCAAAAUUAAUGUAAAAAUAAAAUUGAAACAAAUUUUAGGAUCAACAGAAACCCAUCAUGUUUUUUUUUUUUUCAACUUUCUUUCUAAUUGUCUUUGGAAGACCCACAUGCUUUUAAUUUAGUAUCCUUUCUUAGUUGUUGAUGCUCUAUGAAAACCUCCUCUUAUUUCAUAGUGUCUUAUUUCACUUUCUUAGAUGACGUUGAUCUCUUGAUAACCCCUCAUUUUCACUUUCAUUGCCAUCAUUCACAGGAGAAGAAAAGAAAAAAGAAAAAAGAUACACAUGAAAACUCAUUCUCCUUCUUGUUCUUACUCAUGGUACAUUGACUUGAAUUGCACUGACAAUAAGUUUCAUUUAAAAAAUUUAAUUAAAGUCAAAUUUUCAUUAAAAAUAUUCUCUUAAAUUAGUUAAGUUUCAUUUAUUAAAAAUAUAAACAUAUGAGCCAAGAAGAUUCUAAACUAUACUAUAAUUACAUUUUAUUUACAUAGAGCUUAACUAGGGUUAAGUUCGUAUUUAGAGUUUUUAAUUAAUUAAUAUAUAUUUUAAAAAAAACUAGGGUUAAGACCCAGUCCAUUAAAUUUAAGGGAGAAAAAUGGAAAGCAAAGUACAGUAUCCUUAGGACUCGCAAUGUACAAAAGAACAAGAAAGAAGGAAAAAGAGAUAUUGUUCUUUCCAGUGAAAUUAACUUAAUUACUUCUACUCGGUGAACUAUCUUGAGUAACAGUUUGUAUUAUGGUUAAAUUUCAUUUACAAAAAGUUAACUAAGGUGAAUUUCUUAUUUAAGAUUUUAAUUCAAAAUAAUAUUGGAUUCAUUUAUAAAAAAAUUAAUUCUAUUUAAGUUCUUGACCAUAAUAUUUACUUAAACUUAAUUAUCAUUAAGUUUUAUAUACAAAGAACUUAACACUUCUUAACUUAUCGAUCUCAUGUGCAUCAGCACACACAUAUAGAAAAAAAAAGAAAAAAAGCAACUAGAAGUUAACAAAGCGAAAAUGAUAGCAUGUUAAAGUCAUCAUAACCAAAUAUUUUGAUAUCUAUCAAUAUUGACAUUGACAGGCUUCAAACUUCUCAAAGGGAACUAAGCUUCCUAGAGUAACAAUUUACUAAUCUACUCUUUGGUUAUGAUCUAAUUGGUUUCAUGGAUGGAACCACACCAUGUCCACCAAACACCAUCACAAACCCAAUGGAACAACUUCCAUAUCCGGACUCUAUUUGAAUUGCAAACUUUGGAAAUGACAUGACUAUUCUCCAUGCCAUUCUUGUUUCAAUAUUUGGCUUUGUGGCUCCCCUAAUUGCCUUUACAACAGUGUUGAGUGACAUAUGCAUCAAAUUAGGGAAAACAUAUGCCAACAAAUCCUAUAAUAGAAUGCUCAGGCUCAAUGAUGAUGGAGUCAAUAAUUUCAUUCGGGGCAACUUUUAAUGCAUGUAUGGACUUUAGCCUAAUGAUCAAGAUUUGUCAUCGGUGCAUUAUCAGUCUUGUUUUCAAAUCCUCAUAUUGCAAGAACUAGAUUUGGUAGGUGCCCCCCAAGCCUUACUUGGCUCCUCAAGUGCUCAGGCUACAAGAAACACUAACAAACACCAUAAAAUUAAAUAAAUAAAUAAAUCAAAAGCUUAAGACAAUCAAAGCUACCCCUUGAAAUUAAUAAUAAUAAUAAUAAUAAUAAUAAUAAUAAUGACAAUCAAAAACUUUCAUGGCAAUCAGAAUAACCAAGGCAAUGGAAUUUUCUAAGGCGGUUUGAACUUUAAUAGUGGCUUUCCAAUUAUGGGAAUAAUCUCAAAUUGGUCAUAGUGCCAAAUACUUUCACGACAAUCAAAAUAAGCAAGGCAAUUGAAAUUUUCAAGGUAAUUUAAACUUCAAUCAUAACUUUUUGAUUAUGAGAUUAAUCUCAAAUUGGUCAUAGUGUCAAAUACUCUCAUGGCAAUAAAAAAUCCCAAUAAGUGAGUUCCUAGGAUGAUGAGGUUUACUUUCUACCGUAGGAUGUUUUCCAUUUCAAAGUAUAGACUCUAAGAAAAAGGGGGUUUACUUUGGAUUGUAGGAUGUUUUCCAUGUCAAAGUACUCUAAGAAAAAGAGGCAUUUAUUCUAUGAAUAGGACAAAGGCAUACAUACAAACAUGAUAAUUGGUCUGGACCACCCAUAAAGUCUCCAAUCAACUAUUGACAAACCCACGAUGUGGCUAAUUAACCUUACUGUGGCGCCACAUUUAAUUCCUCAUCUAACACCGCUGGGACUGGCCGGUGGCAAGUCACGUACACGUACUGUGCGGCCAUUAAAACAAUCUACCACCGAGCACCUUACCUUCCCUUUCAAUGCCUAGCCAUAUUCUUAUGUACUUUUAGGCCAUACGUCACACCAAUUCACAAUGAAUCAUUAACGCUAUCUUUAUUCCCCAAAAGUACACAAUAAAAAAUUCAUAUUUGAUUUUACUAUAAAAAAGAUUGGAAGAAAAUCAAAUAUAACUUGUUAAAAAUUUAUAUAUUUUAAAAUUAUUUAAUUAAAUAAAAUAAAUUUAAAGAAAUGUAUAAAAAUAAGUUAGUUGAGUUUUUUUUUUUUCAUUCCAAUUUUCUUAUUUGCUUCACAUUUUUUUUUUCAAAUUAGUAUUAUAAUUAAUAAAAUGAUAGGACAUAGGACAUAAAUUAAACCCUUCAAUUUAAAAAAAAAAUGGAGAUAAUUAAUCUUGAAAUACUAGCCUCACAUAGGCUGUCACAUUGUUGUACCUUGUAUGGUAAGCUACAAAGACCAAAACAAUCACUUCAUAGCAUUAAACUUUCUGCAUUGAGAUGGAAAUCCUUUUCAGAAAAGAUAUUUUCAGAAUUUUUUUUUUCUUUUCUAGUUUAAUCUAAUUAAAAAUCACCUUUUUAAAUAUGCACACUUCCAAUUUCUAGUCAAGUUUUAAUGAAAAAAGAAAAAUUAUCACCCAUGCAUAAGGGCCUGUUUGUUGCGGAUGUGAAAUUAGAAGUUAUUUGUCUUGUCAAAUAAAGUGAAAGAAACAGCAUCAUCUAACAGUCCCAAAGUUCUGGGUACCUAAUUUUCAGCGAAAAGGGGUUGUUAAUUAAUAGGAAAAAAAUGUCACCAUGGGACUGGGAGAUUCAGAGUCAAAGAAUAUUAAAAGUAAUCUCAAGGCAAAAACCUUGGAGUAGAAACGUGGAAGCAUAUCUACCGUUUUUUACAUGGCCUAACCCCAAGCUCACGUGGUCAGCUACCUGCCCUACUGUCCAACCUACCAAUUCUGUCGUAUAAAAAUUCACCCAACUCCUCAGUCUUGGCAUCGGCAUUCUCUCUUGGUCUCCUGCAAAAUUGAGGUAGAAGCCAGUGAAGCAGGUAGCCAACAAUGGUGUCAGUUGCGGAAAUUAGAAAGGCCCAGAGAGCUGAGGGUCCCGCCACGGUUCUGGCUAUUGGCACGGCCACUCCGGCCAACUGCGUCUACCAGGCAGACUACCCGGAUUACUACUUCCGGAUCACCAACAGUGAGCACAUGACCGAGUUGAAGGAGAAGUUCAAGCGCAUGUGUACGUGCCUUAUUAAUGGAUUAAAUCUGUAAUCCUUGUUUGUUUGUUUUUUUGGUAGGAAUGGUAUUGUGCAUGGAGCCAAUUUCAGUGCAUGGGAAAUAGGCGAGUAUCUGAUACUGAUGAUGGUUAUUUGAUACUAUUUUACUGGUUUUUACAGGUGAAAAAUCCAUGAUAAACAAACGCUACAUGCACCUCACUGAAGAAAUUCUCAAGGAGAACCCCAACGUCUGUGCCUACAUGGCCCCAUCUCUUGAUGCCCGUCAAGACAUGGUGGUGGUUGAAGUACCAAAGCUUGGCAAGGAAGCUGCUGCCAAGGCCAUCAAAGAAUGGGGCCAGCCCAAAUCCAAGAUCACCCACCUUGUCUUCUGCACCACCUCCGGUGUUGACAUGCCCGGUGCUGACUAUCAACUCACCAAGCUGCUAGGCCUCAAACCCUCCGUCAAGAGGCUGAUGAUGUACCAACAGGGCUGCUUUGCCGGUGGCACCGUCCUCCGCCUUGCCAAGGAUCUCGCCGAGAACAACGCCGGCUCUCGUGUUCUGGUCGUCUGCUCUGAAAUCACAGCUGUCACUUUCCGAGGCCCGUCUGACACCCACUUGGACUCCCUCGUGGGUCAGGCACUUUUCGGUGAUGGUGCAGCUGCCGUUAUCAUUGGCGCAGACCCGGAUACCAAAAUUGAACGCCCACUGUUCGAGCUCGUCUCCGCGGCUCAGACCAUCCUCCCUGACUCCGAAGGAGCAAUCGACGGACACUUGCGUGAAGUGGGCCUCACCUUUCAUUUACUGAAAGACGUCCCAGGGUUGAUUUCCAAGAACAUAGAAAAGAGCUUGGUGGAAGCCUUCACUCCGAUAGGCAUCAGCGACUGGAACUCCUUGUUCUGGAUAGCUCACCCCGGCGGCCCAGCAAUUUUAGACCAGGUUGAGUUAAAGCUGGGUCUGAAGGAAGAGAAACUGAGAGCAACUCGGCACGUUCUGAGCGAGUAUGGGAACAUGUCGAGUGCAUGCGUGUUGUUUAUCCUGGACGAAAUGAGGAAAAAGUCAAUUGAAGAAGGGAAAGGCAGCACAGGUGAAGGGUUGGAAUGGGGGGUACUGUUUGGAUUCGGACCAGGUCUCACGGUUGAGACUGUUGUCUUGCACAGUGUGUCUGCACCAGCGGCUCACUGAGUCACUGAUCAACUCAUGAAGCGUUUGUGAUAAACUAUGUGCUACAGUCCUGCACCGUAGUCAUCCUUGGGUGAUCUUUUUCUUAUUGUUUCUUAUUUCUGAACUGUAGUCUACGUUCCACGGAGAUGAUUCUGAAAUAAAUAAAUUAUUGGAGAUGCUCUCUCUAAACCUUUUUCUUUAUGUUUCAGUAGAAAUGCCUGCAAUAUUUUCUUUUUUUGGAAUUUGGGCAUUGUUGAAGAAAAUGAAGAAAAGUCUGUCCACAUGAAUAUGAUGGCGGCCAAGCCUCUAUGAUUUUGUAACACGUGUAGAGUUAUUUUCUCAAUCCCGCCUUACCAAGACUUUUGAUGUACAUAUAUUUGCCUGGACCCUUUUCAAUCAUCUUAUCAUAAAUGUUACUUUUAUGUACUGACCUUUCCAAGUCAAAUCUUUCAAUAUUGACCUAAUCACUCCUCCAUCAUUUUUUAUGUAUUUAUAUUUUCACUUCAUCCCUUGCUCCUUGAUCUUAAUUAUUUAUAUCAUUAUGCUAGAUAUAACUAAUAUAUUUAUAUAUUUGUUCUCUAAAUUUAAUCAUAUUUUACUAAUAUACCAUAUUCAAAACUUAAUAGGUGGGUAUAAAUUCUUCUAUAUCUUAAUUCUUUUUCUUUUAGUUAAUUUUAAAGCAUUUCUCACCACGAAGGAAAAACAUUAAAUUAUGCACCAAAGAAGAAAACAAAAAAGGUGUUAGGUGUUGACAUUUGAUGAUUUGUGGCUAUCUAACCUCCAUCUAAAUGGAGCAAUGUGGACUCUAGUAUUUAUUUUAACUUAAUUGUUUAAAAUUUUCUACAAAUUACGUGUUUUCAUCAUAUAGCAACAACGGUACUAGAGAGAUGCAAGUCAUGCAAAUACAUGAGCAAUGAAAUUAAUAACUUCAUCGUAUGUGUGUCGAUAAAUAUAUAGAUAAAUAGAUCAAUAUAUAUAUAUAUAUAUCCUAAUAUUUGGCAAUCGGAGAGGCACACGUUUAACCUCAAGUUCCUACCAUCGGUCCCCUCUUCAAUAAUAUUUGCUAAUUGAAGUGACAUAUCUUUAACCCCAAGUUCCUACCAUCAUUCCAUUCUCUUUAAUAGGGUGCACAAAUGACAAAACCACUUUUUUUUUCUGUUUUUUUUUACAAUAUUUUUUAUUAUUUGUUUGUGAUUUAAUGCCCUAAGAAAUUGUCAAAUUAUCUUUUGAAUAUUUUGAUGCCCAACUUAUUAUGGCAUCAAAAAUCUUUGAUGCCCUAAGAAGUUUUCACAAACCAACUACCAAUAUUUUGGUUAAAGUUCUAUAUAUAUUUUCCUUGUUAGAAAAGUCUACAAAAAAGAUGAUAUGCAAAGAUUUCAGUAUAUGCUUAAAAAAAGAUAGACACGCGAUGAAAGGAAGUAUGUAUACAUGACUAUGAUGAUGGUAGAGAUUGUGAUUUUGUGACAUAUGUAUAGGGUUAUUUUCUGUAUCCUACAUUGACAAGACAUUUGAAGUUUGAUGUAGAUAUACUUGCUUACACCCCAUUUAAAUUAAACAUAUCAUAAAUGUUACAUAUACUUUUAUGUACUACUAUGACCUUUCCAAGUCAAAUAUUCAAUACCUAUAAAAUAGAUGUCAUUACUCAAUCAUUUUUUUAUACUUAUUUUAUAUAUUUAUAUUUUAAUUUCAUUUCGUAUUCCUUGAUCUCAAUUAUUUAUAUCAUAAUCCUAUAUAUAAAUAAUAUAUUUAUAUAUUUAUUCAGUAAUUCAAAUUUAAUCAUAUUUUACAAAUAUACCAUAUUCAAAACUUAAUAGGUAUAAAUUCUUCCAUACCUUAUUAUUUUCCUUUCACUUAAUUUUAAAGCAUUUCUCACCAUAGAGAAAAAACAUUAAAUUCAUCGGCCAAAGAAGAAAAAAAAAAGGUGUUGAUGUUGGCUUUUGAUGGUUUUUGGUUAUCUAACCUCCAUUUAAAUGGGGCAAUGUGAACUUUAGCAUUUAUUUUAACUUAAUUGUUUAAAAUUUUCUACAAGUUAGGCGUUUUCAUCAUAUAGCAAUAAAGGUGCAAGAGAUGCAAGUCGUGCUAAUAUGUGAGCGAUGAAAUUAACAACUUCACCAUAUAUUGUAUUUUAUAUAAUCUCUCUCUCUCUCUCUCUCUCUCUCUCUCUCUCUCUCUCUAUAUAUAUAUAUAUAUAUAUAUAUAUAUAUAUAUAUAUAUAGAUCCUAAUAUUUGGCAAUUGGAGGGACACAUGUUUAACCUCAAGUUCCCAUCACGGGUCCACUCUCUUCAAUAAUAUUUGCCAAUUGAAGUGACAUACCUUUAACCCUAAGUUCCUACCUUCGUACUCUCUCUUCAAUAGAGUGCACAAAAUCACAUUUUUUUCACAAUAAUUUUUAUUAUUUGUUUGCGAUUAUAUGCCCUAAGAAGUUGUCAAAUCAUCUUUUGAAUAUUUUGAUGCCCAACUUCUUAGGGCAUCAAAAUAACUUUGAUGUCCUAAGAAGUUUUGACAAGCCAACUACCAAUAUUUUUUUUUAUAAAAAGUUUUAUAUUUUCCUUGUCGAAAAAGUCUACAAAAGAGAUAAUAUGCAAAAGAUUUCAACAUUCUACUUAAAAAGAGAGACACAAGAUGAGAGAAAGUCUCUACACAUGACUAUGAUGAUGGUGGAGCUUGUUAUUUUGUGGCACAUGUAUUGAGUUAUUUUGUCUAUCCCAAUUUAACAAGACCUUUGAAGUUUGAUGUAGAUAUACUUACCUACACCCCAUUUAAAUCAAAAGUAUCAUAAAUGUUAUGUAUACUUUUAUGUACUACAUACUAUGACCUUUCCAAGUCAAAUAUUUCAAUACCUAUAAAAUUGAUGUCAUCACUCAUUCAUUAUUUUAUACUUAUUUUAUAUAUUUAUAUAAUAAUUUCAUUCCUUAUUCUUUGAUCUCAAUUAUUUAUAUUAUAAUCCUAUAUAUAAAUAACAUGUUUAUAUAUUUGUUCAAUGAUCUAAAUUUUAUCAUAUUUUACCAAAAAACCAUAUUCAAAACUUAAUAGGUAUAAAUUUUUCCACACCUUAUUAUUUUCCUUUCACUUAAUUUUAAAGCAUUUUUCACCACAGAGGAAAAACAUUCAAAGUCAUCCACCAAAGAAGAAAAAAAAGGUUGGUGUUGGCCUUUGAUGGUUUUUGGCAAUCUAACCUCUAUCUAAAUGGUGCAGUGUGAACUCCUCCAUUUAUUUUAACUUAAUUGUUUAAAAUUUUCUACAAAUUAGGUGUUUUCAUUAUAUAACAACAAAGGUAGUGGAGAUGCAAGUCGUGCUAAUAUAUGAGCAAUGAAAUUAACAACUUCACCAUAUAUGAUAUUUACAAAGUAGAAGAUAUUUUGGAAAGAUAUAUAUAUAUAUAUAGCACACGUUUAACCUCAAGUUUCCAUAAUCGAUCCACUCUUUUCAAUAAUAUUUGCCAAUUACAGUGGCAUGCCUUUAACCCCAAGUUCGUACCAUCGUUCCACUCUCUUCAAUCGGGUACACAAAACCAAAUUUUUUUUCACAAUAUUUUUUAUCAUUUGUUUUUUAUUUUGAUGCCCUAAGAAGUUUUCACAAGUCAACCACCAAAUUUUUUUUUUUAAAUUCUAUAUUUUCCUUGUCGAAAAAGUCUACAAAAAAGAUAAUAUGCAAAAAAAAUUAGUAUUUUGUUUAAGAAGAGAUAGACACGGGAUGAGAGGAAGCUUGUACACAUGACUACCUUCCAUGUAGAUUAGAUAUGCUUUUCUACGCCCAUUUAAAUCAAGGUAUCAUAAAUGUUACACAUACUUUUAUGUACUACCGUGACCUUUUCAAGUCAAAUUUUUCAAUACCUAUAAAUUUGACUUCAUUACUUAUUCCUUAUUUUAUACAUUUAUAUUUUAAUUUCAUUACUUAUUCCUUGAUCUCGAUUAUUUAUAUCAUAAUCCUAUAUAUAAAUAAUAUGUUUGUAUAUUUGUUUUCUCAUCAUAGAGAAAAAACAUUAAAGCCAUCCACCAAAGAAGAAGAAAAAAGAUAUUGGUGUUGACUUUUGAUGGUUUUUAGCUAUCUAACUUUCAUUUGAAUGAGGCAAUGUGAACUCUAGCAUUUAUUUUAACUUAAUUCUUUAAAAUGUUCUACAAAUUAGGUAUUUUUGUUAUAUAGUAAUAAAGGUACUAGAAAUGCAAGUUGGGCUGAUGUGUGAACAAUGAAAUUAACGACUUCACCAUUUUUGAUAGUUUAUAUAAAUAUAGGAGAUAUUUUGGAAAAAAAGUUACUGGCAAUGGGAGGAGCACGUACACCUUUAACCCCAAGUUCCUAUCAUUGGUCCACUCUUUUCAAUAAUAUGUGGCGGGACACACCUAAGUUCCCACCAUUCGUUCACUCUUUUCCAUAAAGUGCACAAAACUACCUUUUUUUUUUCAUAAUAUUUUUUAUUAUUUGUUUGUGAUUCGAUGCCCUAAAAAGUUGUCAAAAUAUCUUAGAUAUCAAAACAAUAAAUGAAAAAAAAAAAAAAAUACAAGCACACUACCAACAUUUUUUUUUUUAAGUUCUACAUUUUCCUUGUCCCAAAAGUCUACAAAAAAGGUAAUAUACAAAAGAUUUCAAUAUUCUAUUCAAAAAACGAUAAAUACAACUAAAAGGAAAAAUCAGUAACUUUUUCAAAGAAUUCUAUGGAGGAAAAAAUAAUCAUAUGUUCGACCAGUGAUUUUGCCUUUUCUUUUUCCCUUGUGAUUCAUGGAAACUAAAUGUAAAAUAAUAAUAAUAAUAAUAAUAAAAUAAAUAAUGUGAUGAAUGUAUAAAGUUAAAACAAUAGUAAAAAUGUAGUUAACCUAUUAACAUGUAAAAAUUGUAACAUGGAUAUGAGAAUAUAUAUAUAUAUAUGAAAUUAUAAUCAUAUUAUAUACAAAUUAAUAAUGUAAUUAAGGUAUAAAAAAUGUGACUUAGUACGAGCAAUGGGACUAAUAUACUAAAGUAGAAAAAGUAUGACCUAGAUACUGUUAAAGAAAAUAUCUAAAGAGAUACACAAGCACAUAAAGUACACUCUCAUCAACAUUUCCAUAAAUCUAAAUAAAUCAAAUAUUUGCAAUAUGUAAUUCUCUCAAUUUUAGGAUAUUUUCUUGUAUAUAUUUUUUUAGGAAUAUUUGUUAUUUCUUUACUUGUAUAGCUCAUCUAUAUUUUAGUAUAAAGUUCCAAAGGAAGUAAUACAAAUCACAAGUUCCAUUACCAAAAAUACACAAAAUUUUGCAUGGUAUCAAAGCCAUGAACUUACAAAGCCAAAAUAUAUCUUCUUUAACCUUUUCCUCAUUCCUAAAUGCAAAAUCUGAACUUAGUAUUUAGUUAUUUUGCCGAAGUUUUAGUUUCAUUUCUAACAAGUUAAAAACUAUAAACUCCCUAUCGUGGUAAAAUCAAUUCACUCCCUUAGUUUGUGGUCUCAAUAUUCUCCAUUAUUUAUUAAAUGGAAAAAAAAACCUAUUAAAGAAAUUAAGGAUGAUGAGGGCAACAACAAUCCUAACCCACAAUACCAACUAUGGAUAAAUAAUGACAAAUUUCUUAUUUCAUGGCUUCUUGGAACUAUGAAAGAAGAAGUUUUGAGCAUAAUCUUUAGUGUUGAAACAACAUAUGAAGUAUGAACAUCUCUUAAAAAGCAAUUGCUUCCCAUUAUAGUAAAAAAAAAUAUAAAAAAUAUGUUGACAACUUUCAAAAAGAGACCACAGUUUCUUGAAGAAUAUUUAAGAGACUGCAAAAAUAUAUGUAAUAAUCUCGUCACAAUCAAGAAGUCAACUUUAGACCAAGACAAAGUUUUCCAAUUUGCUUAUGGCUUAGGACAUAGCCACAUUAUCCUUCAUUUAGCCAGCUUAUGCUAGCUCUCAAAGACAUGAACAAUCACUCAUCACCCAAAAUGAGGAGAAAACAUUCUUAAAGCAUGCACAAGUUUUCUUUGGACAAUGAGGUUAAUUGUAGUUGAAAUGGCCAAAGGGAUAAAAGAAAUUUCAACUCAAGUGGAAGAAAAUUCACACCUGUUGGGCGCUAUAAUGGUAACCAUAAUCCUCAAAGCAAUGACAACAUUCCCAAAUGGUCAAAUAAUAAUAUAACCCAAUCAAAAGAAAGACAUUAACAACAACAUCCUAUUGACUCAAAUAAUGGCAGUAAAAUAACUUGUUAAAUUUAUGGAAAACCAAAUCAUCUUGUUAUUAAUUGUUAGCAUAGUUUUAAUUAUUCCUACCAACUUGAGGAUUUUUCACAAGUUCUUGCUACUCUUUCCAUUUGGAAUCAAUAUCAACUCUAUGGGCAUAUCAUAUUAAGUAUAAAGAAUAUGGUUUUAUUGAUUGUUUUAAGGCUCAUUUAGUUGCAAAAGGUUUCACACAAGUAUCAGGAGUGGACUAUGAUAAAACUCUCAACCUUGUGGUUAAACUAACCAACAUUCACCUUAUCAUAACACUUUCUUUCUCUUUUAAUUGGAGCAUGCGCCAAUUGGACAUAAAAAAAUGCAUUCUUGCAUGGGUAUCUAAAGGAGAUAGUCUACAUAGAGCGACCUUGGGAUUUAUUGAUUAUCUUUUUCUUGAUUAUGUGUGUUUAUUAAAGAAAACAUUAUAUGGUUUGAAACAAACGCCUUGUGCUUAGUUUGAUUUUCUCCCGCAAUGUUAUCCCCAACUUGGUUUCUAUUGUAGCAAAGCAAACUCGUCUUUGUUUAUUUAUCACACUCAGGAUAUUAUUGCAGUUCUCCUCAUUUAUAUGGAUGAUGUUCUUAUUGCAGGCAACAAUAAUCAAUUUAUGCAAGUCUCCUUUGGCAACUUGGUCAUGAAUUUGCGAUUAAAGAUCUUGACACUUUACAUGAUUUUCUUGGUGUAAAGAUUAAAUAUUUUGAUAGAAUAGGCUUUUUUUUCAACAAAAAUAUACAUGACUUACUUUUAAGAAUUAAGAUGCUUAGCAAUAAUUCCAUUACUACACAUUAGGCUCUUGUAGAUAAGUCUUUUGCUUUAGACAAUGUCUUAACUGAUGUUACUGCUUUCUAAAAUAUUGUUGGAGUCCUUCAAUUAAUCGAGUAUGUCAAUAAUUCAAUAACCCUACUAUGACUCACUGGAUGGUUGUAAAGUGCAUCUUAAAUACCUUAAAGGAACCUAACAAUUUGGUUUAGAUUAUUUUUCUGCCAAUUCAAUAUCCCUUUAUGGAUUUAGCGAUAUUAAUUAGGGAGGUUGUCCUAUUAUAAGAAAGAUCACCAUAUAUUAUUGUAUAUUAAUUAGAGCAAAUUGUAUCUCUUUGUAUUCAAAGAAACAAUCAACAAUUGCUCACUCAAGCAUCGAGACAAAGCAUCGUUCUUUAGUCUUCUUUGCAGUUGAGUUGACUUGGAUUAGUUAUUUUUUAUGAGAUAUCGGUGUGUCCUUCUCAACAUUACCACAAUUAUUUUGUAACAAUGUUAGUGAUCUUUACAUGACCAUUGAUCCUAUGUUUCAUGCUCGUUCUAACAUGUUGAGUUUGAUUAUCAUUUUAUAUGAGAAGACGGUUAUAGAUGCUUUUUGUCACUCUCUAUGUUUCCACGCACUCUCAACUUGAUGAUAUUUUUAUCAAAUCUUUGUCAAAGGAUAUCUUCACAAUGUUUCAAGACAAGCUAGGCAUCCAUACUCAUUCUCACCCUAGCUUGAGGUGUAUGUUAAAGGAAAUACUGAAAGAUAUACACAAAAUCAAAAUAUUCAAGGAGAUACACAAAGUCAAAAUAUGGAGAUACAUGGAAUCAAGUUCAUAAAAGUUAGGAAGAUACUCCCAUCAAUAUUUCCAUAAAUCUAGAGAAAUCAAAUAUUUACAAAUUCUCUUAAUAUAUAUAUAUAUAUAUAUGGAAUAUUUUUUUAUUUCUUUCUUUGUAUAACUCAUCUACAUUUUAAUAUAAAGUUCCAAAAGAAGUAAUAAAAAUCACAACUUCCAUUACCAAAAUACACAAAAUUUUGCACAUGCCAAUACAAUAAAUGUGAAUAUGGUACAAAAUAUGUGACUAAGGUAUGAAAAAUAUGAUUAAGGUAUUAUGUACAAAAAGUAUAACCUAAAUACAAAGAAUAUAAUUAUGAUGUAAAGAAUGUGAUCAAGGUAUUACGGUUGGAAAAAUAUGACAAAGAUACAAAUAAUAUGACAAAUGUAAAAAAAAUGUUAUUAAGGUAUUAAAUUAAGUUAUGAAUGCAAAAAAUAUUAAUAAGAUAUGAAAUGUGUGACUAAAGUGUUAAGAUAUUAACAGUAUAACUUAAGUACACAUAAUAUCACUAGAAUACAAAAAAUAUAACCAAAUGACGAGGAAUGUGCCUAUGAUAAUAUGGUACAAACUAUAUGACCAAAACACUAAAAUACAGAAAAUAUGAUCAACAUAGAUUCAAAAAAAUGUGACUUAGGUAUAUAAAAAAUGUAACCAAAGUACGAAAGGUAUAAUUAAGGCAGGAAGAAUGUGGCAAUAAUACUAAUACUAAAGCAUGAAAUUUAUGAUGACAAAGAUAAAAAAUAUAUAUAUAUAUAUAUAAAAUAAAUUAAUAAAUUUAUUAUCAUUCAACAUAAUGAUUUUCUUGACAUAUUUAUAUUUGUAUAAAAUAAACAAAAUCUUGGUUUUCUUUAUGAAAAUGAAAUCCAUCUUCAUUGUGUUAAGUUACAAAAUGAUUAAUAACAAAUAUAAAAUCAUUUGUAUAAUUUCAUACAUUGCAAUUAAUUUUAAUUCAAAACAAGUUUUUCCAAUGAUUUUCUUAUCAUAAUCACCCUCAUUAUCAUUUAGUUUUUUAUUAUCAUCAGUCACUACCCCAUUUAAAUUUCCUUAUUUUUAUACAAUCUUUUAUGGAUAGAAUGGCCUAUUUAAUUAUUUAGGUUACAUUUCAUCAACACAAAAGAGUCAACAUUGUAAUUUCCAAUUUCCCCGAUUCCCUUAAUGAAAAUCCAAAUUUAGAAACUUAACCCUCCAUCUUUUUCCACCUCAACAAAAAUAUCAUCACUUUUUUUUUUUAUGUAUCUUUUAAAUUCCAGUUGAAAGUGAUAAAAAGCACUUACAUAAAAAAUGAGUUACAAAUAAAAAUAUGGAAGGAUUAGAUUCACAAAUUUGGGUAAGAGUAUAAGCAAAACCAAAAAAACCAACAAAAUCGAUUCAAAUCAAUCAUAUUUGGUUUGGUUUUCAAAAAUAAAAAAGGUUGAUUCAAUUUGAGAAUUUUUAAAAUCAAUCUUGUUAAUUCGGUUUUCAAUUUUCUUAUCUCCUAACCGAUAAAAAUCAAACCUAACCAAUAUUCUAAAACUUAUAUAUAAUUUUUUAAUAUUUGAUCAUUUUUUUAUAUUAGAUUAUAUUAAAGUAAUUCAUUGUUUUUAUAUUAUGGUAAAAUUAAUUCAAAAUACAUUUAAUAUAUUUUAAACAUCAAAUUCAAGUUGGUUUCAAUUCAUUUUAAAAAGAAAUUAGACUAUAACCUAAUAUAAACUCAAAUUAAUGAGAUUUAAGCUCAAAACAAAUACAAAUUUACAACUACGUUCAGAAUUAAAAAAUGUUAUUAAGUUGGGUCAAAACCAAUUCACGUAACCGAACCAAACUGUACUCAAAAGGUUUGGUUUUGUUUGCUUUUUCCACUCCAAAUCUAGUUGGUUCAGUUUUUGUUACAUAUAUAACUGAUUAUAUUGGUUCAAUUCAUUUUUUUUUUCAAAAACCGAUCAAAUCAACCUUAGUUACACCCCUAAAUUUGGGUUUUAUAUCAUCCCUUUUAAGAAAUUAAAAUAAUGUGAACUAAUUUAUUUAUUAUUUUAUUAUAAUAAAUGAUAAAUAAAUAGGAGUAUAGAAUCGUAGAAAUGGCAAUAAAAGUAACAUUUUUGGUUCGACAACCAGUUGGCAUGCGAUGAAAAUUGCAUGGAGGGUUCACCAAACAAACGUCUGGGCCUGCAAUGCUGGCCCAACAUUCGUGGCCCAUGGUUGGGACUAUGGCGAGCCCAUGACUUCCUUCGAGAGCUGAAAUACUGUUCAAUUUUAGCAGCAUCUAUUCAAGACAAGACUCCACCACAUCCCUUAAUAAUAAUCUUAGGUUAUAAAGAUAGGAUCAAUGUAUAGAAAUGGGUUCUAAAAAUAUUAGAUUGCUUGGCUUCGGUUCGUAAUUCCGACCCAAUAGACAGAUUUUAGGGUUGGAUUUGAAGGUGACAAGGAAUUAGAUACAAAUAGGAAAUAUUAAAUCCGAAACCUUUAAUAAAUCGAAAUUCUAAUGUUAUGUCAUGAUUAAGGACAUUAUGUCUGACAUCAUCCAUCAAUAGUAUACCAAAUUAGUGAUAUCGGAGUUCGCAUUUUCUUAAAUAGGUGUUAUUAUAGUAUCAAAGUAUACUUUUUCAAUACCUAUCGAAACAACUCAAAUCUCAUUACUUUGUAUUUGAAGCCCCGAGUUUCAUUCGUUUAUAUCAUAUAUAAAGUUUAACUAUUUUAUAUCUUAGGGGGUGUUAGGUAAAACUUAUUACUUAAUGAUUUAAGUUAACUUCAAGUUAAAUUAUACUUAAAUUAUUGACUUAAAAUUUAUUAUUUAAUUCUUACUUUUAAGUAUUAAAGUUGUUUGAUAAAAUUAACUUAAAAAUUAUCCUAAAUCAUCACAUUUAUAUAUUUAUCCUCGUAAAUUAUAACUAGGGUAAAAGAAGUUGAGUAAUAAUGAAUGUCGUGGAAUAACAAAAGAUAUCGUAAAGGUAAUUAUGAUAAAUGGAGGUAAAAAAAUAAAAUAAAUAUGUAGACUUAAAAAAUAAAUUAAUUAUUUUUUACUUAGUACUGAAUUUUUUUUUUAACUUUAAAUCAUAUCAUUAAGUUAUAAAGUCAUUUUAAGUUAUUAAGUUGUUUGCCAUGUUUGGGCUUAUUUGCUAUUUUAUUGGGCUUGGUUUCUUAUACUUCUUUUAUUGAUCAUGGGCUAUUUCUGUUUUGCAUGGGCUAAUAUGAGGUUGAGAUGUGGAUAUUCAUUAUUCACUACAUGCACGGUGCGAUUUUGCAAAUGUUUUAAAUACAGUAAAAAAUUAUUUUUAAAUAAAAAAAAGUUCCAAAAUUUUAUUUUAAUAAAAAUUGUUUUCCAGAAAAUGAUUUUUUUUAUUUUAUAAAAAUGCCAGAAAAAGAUUAUAAAGAAAAAGGGCCCACCAACUGUUUUUUAAUAAAUCCAAAAAAUGGGUUUUAAUAAAAUAGUCCAAACAAUUUAAUUGUAAUAAAUCCAAAAAAUUGUUUUAAUAAAAGACCAUAAAAUUAUUUUUCAGUAAAAACAACCCAGAACAUUAUUUUUGAAUAAGAAUAGUCUAUAAUUUUUUUUAUUAAAUAAAAAAUAGUUUAGAAAAUAUUUCUAUUAAUAAAAAAUAGUCCAUAAUUUUUAUUUUAAAAGGUUCAAAAAUCAUUUUUCAAAUAAAUGUAAAGUUCCAAAAAAAAUUCAUCUUAGAAAGUUUAAAAAAAAAAAGUUUUUUUUUAAGUUUAAAAGAAAAUUUGAUUUUAAUAAAUGUAAAUAAUUUUGAAAUGUUUUUUCCCUAUUAAAAAUCCUUUUAACUAAUAAAAUUGAGUUGAACAUAUUUUUUUAAAUAAAAUUCGUAAAAAAAUUCAUUUUCCAAUUAAAAUUGAAUUGAAAUCUUCUUUUGUAAAAACUCUUUCUGUGUAAAAUCACUUUUCCUAAAUGGAAAUCGAGUUCGUGAUUUGUGAAUAAAAUUAUAGAACUUUGUUUUCAAUAAAAAUUAAUUCCUUUAUAAAAUAAAAUAAAAUUGGAAUAUUCUUUUUUGUAAGUAAAUUUAUAAAAAAAAAUUAUAUAAAAAAUAUUUUUUAAUAAAACUUGAUUUGAAAUAUUUCUUGAAAAUAAAUUUGUAAUUUUUAAAAAAAAAUUGUAGCCAGUCAUUUCUUUUAAAUAAAAUUUGAAAUUAAAUAUUUUCUUAAAAAUAAAAAUUGUAAAAAAACAUUCUAGUAAAAAUAAAUAAAAAUCAUCUCCUUGUAAAUAAAAUCAAAUUCAAACUUUUCUCUUUAAAUGAAAUUGUACUUAAUAAAUUCUUUUAAUAAAAAAAACAAGAAAAAUUCUUUGAAAAUAAAUGUGAAUGUGAAUAAAAUUAAAUCUUUUGAUAAACAAAUUCUUUCAAGAUUUCUUAAAAUUGUCUUAUGAUACUUGAAAUAAUAAAAUCUUUUUAAUAAAUCAUUUUGUCUAUUCCCAUGUAUUAAUUUUGUAUAUAUUGUGUAAUUGUUUUGACAUACAUUUGUAUUUUUUGUUUUUGUUUUUUGUUUUUUAUUUUUAUUUUAUGGUAUCUAUGAUUUACUAAUCCAUUGUCAUAGUUUCAAUUAUCAUGUUCCCUUAAUCCGACAAUUGUUCCCUUAAUCUAAUGUUUACUAAUGGUAUUUAUGAUUUACUGAUCUCAUGGUUCCUGAAUCUAAAAUUUACUAAUGGUAUCUAUGAUUUAUUACUAAUCAAUUGUCAUGGUUCCCUUAAUCUGAUAUCUAUGAUUUAUUAAUUAAUUGUCAUGAUUCCCUUAAUUGAUACCAUUCCCUUAAUCUAAGGUUUACUAACUAAUUGUCAUGGUUCCCUUAACUCAUUUAAUAAAGACAAUAAUCUAUAAUUAAGGUUUAUUAAUCAAUUGUCAUGGUUUCCUUAAUCUAAGGUUUACUAAUGAUAUCUAUGAUUUACUAAUCAAUUGUCAUGGUUCCCAAUAUCAUUCCCUUAAUCUAAGGUUUACUAACUAAUUGUCAUGAUUCCCUUAACUCAUUUAGUAAAGACAAUAGUCUAUGAUUAAGGUUUAUUAAUUAAUUGUCAUGGUUUCCUUAAUUUAAGAUUUACUAAUGGUAUCUAUGAUUUACUAAUCAAUUGUCAUGGUUCCCUUAAUCUGGUAUCUAAGAUUUACUUGUCAAUUGUCAUGGUUUCCUUAAUCUAAGGUUUACUAACCAAUUGUCAUGGUUCCCUUAACUCAUUUAGUAAAGACAAUAGUCUAUGAUUAAAGUUUAUUAAUCGAUUGUCACGGUUUCCUUAAUCUAAGGUUUACUAAUGGUAUCUAAAAUUUACUUGUCAAUUGUCAUGGUUCCCUUAACUCAUUUAGUAAAAACGAUAGUCUAUGAUUAAGGUUUACUAAUCAAUUGUUAUGGUUUCCUUAAUCUAAGGUUUACUAAUGGUAUCUAUGAUUUACUAAUUAAUUGUCAUGAUUCCCUUAAUUUGGUAUUUUAAAAUUUAGAUGUCAAUUGUCAUAAUUCCUUAACUCAUUAGGUAAAAACAAUAGUCUCACCUGUCAUAGUUCCCUUAACUCACUCAAUAAAGACAAUAGUCUCACCAGUCAUGUGUCAUGAAUCCCUUAACUCAUUCAAUAAAGACAAUAGUCUCGAUAGGUGAGGGUCGUUUUAUGAUUCGAUAAGACCCAAACACUCUCACUUCUAGCCCAUUGUAUCAUUUUUAUAAUCAUGUAAAUAAGAUAUAAAUAUCAUAUCUUGGUUUGUAGGACUUUCAAUGUGGGACAGGUUAUGCUUAAGAGGCUUGCAUGGAGGGGAAUUAAACUUGGGUCCGAACCACUAAGCUACAAAGUUGUUUCAGUAUAUAAUAUGGUAAAAAACUUAUACAUCCUCCUUUUAAAUUUUAAUCUUAGAAACAAAUAUAAGUAUUCAUAUCUACAUUUAUUUUUAUAAUAAUUAUUAAUGAUAAAUAUAAAAGUGAUAUAAAUUAAUUAAUAUGAUAAAUUUUAAAAUAACAAAAUACAUACAUACGUAAUUAAAUUAAAUAUUAUAAUUUUCUUUCCAUCUUAAAUAUAUCUUUAUAUUUAAAUAUUAUACAUAUUCCGUUUAAUUAAAAUUAUAUUUAUCUUUAUCAUUUAAUUUGAUAUAUUAAAUAUAAAAAAUUAAAAAUUAAAAAAUUUAAUUAUAUAUGUUUAAUUUCUUGUAUUUAUUUUUAAUUUAAUAAAAUAUAAAUUAUAUAUUUAUGAUGUUACUAGUUCAAUUAUGGUUCAACCAUCGGGCCGAUAACUUUUCUAAUUCAAUGCCUGACCCAAUUAUGAGAAUAUUGCUUGUACUUUAAUUUCACAUAUUUAUUCAUUUAUAUAGAUUUCAUCAUGCACUUUGUACAAAUUCUAAGUUACUUAACAUUUUUCUAAAUAUAAUCAUAUUAGUAUAUUUAAUAAACAUAUUAAUUUUUGGUUCAAAUGUUAGCACCCACCAACUAAGUAAAUAACAUGAAUAUAACAUGAUAAUGACCUAAUUAGUUUACAAUCAAUGCAAUCUAUGUAAUUUUAUAUAUUUUAAAAUUUUAAAAUUCAAAUUUUUUUAUUUUUAUUUUUAAAUAUCUCAUGGUUUAAAAUUAGAUCUAUAAUUAGAAAUUAUAUAAAGCUCUAAAAUAGAUCUAGAAUAAAAAAUUUAAAUAACAUCUAAUUAAAAUUUAAGAUAAGAAAGAGCAGGGUAGGAAGUUUAGAACUUAUUUGAUCAUGUGGUUUAAAAAUAAUUUUAUAUUUUUAAAAACAAAAAGCUAUUUUAAAAAUUUUUUAACAUUGUUUGAUCAUUGUUUUUUAGAAACAAUUUUUAAAAAUAAAGUAAAAUAGAAAACAAAUUUUGGAGAAUAAACAGAAUUUGUUUUCACCAAUUUGUAAAAACAAAAGGAAAAAAUGAACCCAUUUGGUCAUGUUUUAUAAAACUUGUUUUUAAAAAUAUUUUUAAGUCAAAGAAUUAAAAACAAUUUUUAAAAAAUAAAUUUAAGAAAAUAUGGACAAACAAGCCCUUAAAAUAUUUUGAAAAUGACACAAAUAUGUUUAAAAUUAAAUCGAUUCAAGGAAUCCCUCAUUCAUGUCAAUUCACGUAUGAUGUAAACCAACUUAUAGAUAUAGUUUAUAUAAAGUUGGGUAAUAUUAUUUGUACAAAAGCGUGUUACAUUAUUAAAUUAGAAGUAUAUAAUAUGGAUUGUCAUAAUCCUACUUUUAAUUAAGCAAUUAAUUGGGUUCGAAAGUUUGGAGCUGACAUGACCUGACACGACUUUGAUAGGACCCAUUGCAAGUCUAUCGAAGCUGCCACCGGGACAGUAUCCCAACCAUAAGCUUUUGUUGAUUAAGGAGGUGAGGGGGAAUGAUGGAGGGGGUGACUUAGUGAAACAAAUAUAGUAAGCUUACAGUUUGUUUUUGCAUGAAAGGGACUUUGGGCCAAUGGAAGCCUCGGAAAAUAUCAGCUAUUGAAUCUGAUAAUAAUGGAACGUUGGGGUUGUUGGGUAUUUCUCCACUGCUUUCUCGUACACUCAACACUCAAUAGGCCUUAGUUCUUUGAAUAAGCAGCAAAAGAACCGUUGACGCAGCCAUGGGACAGCCAAUCCCAUUGUGGUUUCUUGGCUCAAUGAAAAUGAAUGUGGAAGCAUCUCAGCUUCAUUCCGGAAACUAAACUUGCAUACAUGCGUAUGUGGCCCCCUUUUAAUGGGUUGUCUUUUUAGUUUGCAACUUGGAUGGAUUGGUUUCAUCCGAUCCAAAUCCAAUUCAACUUUUGAGUGAGAUUGAACUUAUAUUAAAAAAAAUUUGAGUUUGAAUUUAAUUUGGGUUGGGUUUGGAUCAAAGUUCCAAUAACACAAACUUGAUUUAUUUAUUUAUUUAUUUUAUGAUAUUUAUAACGUAUAUUUUCCUAAAUAAUAAUAUUCAUUUUCUUUUUAUAUUGUUAAGAAAAAAAUAUCAAUAUAUAUAUAUAUAUAUAUGUUUAUUUUUUAUUGAUAGCUUGAAAUAUUGUUUUAUUUACUAUUUAAAAUUUCAUAUAAAUACAUAAAAAAAAGUAUUUUUUUAAAAUAUUAUAAAUAGAUUUUAAAUUAUGCAAUUUAAUCAACUCAAACAUAACCUGGGUUAACCUGAGUGUGACCUAACCAACACAAAUCUAACAUAAACAACCUAAACUCAACCCAAGUUUAGAGAAAUAAGAUUGAUUUGAAGUUAGAUUGAAUACCACGGUGUAUAGAUUGAGUUGGAUUGAGUUUAGGUUUUUUCUUUUAAAUGAUAAGAUUCAGUGGACUUCUCACAACAUUGUAGACGAAAUUUCACCGAACUCUUAGAAGCGAUUGGGAUUAAGCCCAAUGAUUAAAACCCCAAAUUCCUCAACGAUCAUUUCAAGUGAGAAGAUUGAAUAAUGAAUCCAGCCAUUUGGGAGAAUAACACUCUUCUUUACAGAGAAGGGCCAGCUAAUCAAGUAAAGUCAAGAAAUGAAAAUUAUUCUAACACAACACAGGAUGAAGCUUAGAAAAUAUUCGAUCAACAAUAAUUUUCCGUGUGAAGAUACAUUUGUACGCAAGCAUGAUAAGAUGGAUACGGCAUUAUUGUUAUUAUUAUAGUAAUUAUAGGUGUCACGUUCUAAUCAGAAAAUGGCUGUUCAAGCUAAUCAUGCAUCAGGGUUUACAAUAAACAAACAGUGUGUUGUGGGCAUUGGUGAGGUGCUUCAGGUGUGGACAAAGUCUUAAGAUCUGAAAUGCAGAGAAGGGUGAGGAGAAUCCAAAGGCUCGGUGUGGGAAUGGGAGUAUAAAAGUGGAAAAGGGAGAGGAGAGGUAGCCGUUGUAUUUAGAUCGCUUUUUUAUGGGAAUAAUAAGAAUAAUAAAAUUAGCAAGUAGGAGCAAUGUCAACAUAGCUGGCUGGUGGGGAUAACAACCCCACAAAAGCUUUGAAUCUCUCUCUCUACAAUUCAUUAUUGCUUUAUGGUUAUUACAAGAGUUUUCUCUGUAAUUUUCCUCUAUACUGCUAGCCUUUUCUGUGUUGUACUGUUACAGCCAAGAUGCUCUGGAGGACACUACAGAGAAAAUAACCCUCUCAGCUUCCUCCAAGUUGCAGUAGCAGACAACAAUUAUACUGCUUUACAGCCCACACAACAUAUUAAUAAUAAAAUACCUUUCUCUUCUUUCUUCUUUCUCUUCUUUCUUCUUUCUUCUCUCCUCUCUCUCUCUCUCUCUUCGAGGCUGAGGCAGUGGGCAAAGGCAGAGAGAGGUUGUUAUCUCGUAUUUGGAUCAAUAUCAAUCAAGUUGGUCUUGAUACUCAUUCUGCUUCGCUUUGAACCCUUUUUCCCAGGGUGGGUUUUCCAAUUCUACCUGAAACAUUAAAAGAAUAAGAGGGGUUUUGUUUAUUGGUUUCUCCUUUAUAUCGAUUGGAAUUGGUGGUUUGGUAGGAGAGUAAAUAAACCCUGAUAGUGUGUCGGCGCAUGGUCACUUUCUGUCGGCAUUGUCUGUAUCCAACGAUGAUACAGAGAAGGCAUUUCCAUUAAACUAUCCUAAGUACAACGCAGAAUAGAUGCUUUUGCCUCAGCCCUGAAGGAGGUUGCUGUGCUGCACCACCACCAUCACCCCCACCACUACCAAAUUCUCGAUUUGGCCGUGAUCGGAAGUGGGAUCUGCACAGGAUUGAGGAUUCAAUGUGGGAAUGCGGGUGAAUUUUGAUUUGGGCCAUCCAGAUUUUGGAAAAUCAAAUCAAAUUUUCCGCUGCAAAUGAAGCUGUGCUUUUCUGUGGCCUGGUUUUGUUCUUUCUGCGGGUAUACAGGUUUGGAGCUUUGUGAGUUUCCCUUUUUUUAUUGUUAUUUUAUCUUAUUUUCUCACCCUUUUCUCUCUAUUCGAGUGUUUUCAACUGCAAUUGCUUUGAGUCUCUGCUGAAUUGGACAAGCUUCAAAACUAUGAUGCAUUUUGAGUUAGAUAAAAACACCAUUAAGGCAAUCUGCCAAACGAUAAUAUCUAUCCUAGUGAAUUACAUUUGCUAUCUAUCUGUCCGCCAUGAACAGACCCAGUUGCUAUAGAAUGAAAUUGAGCUGGACUGGAUAUGGUUAUGUUUGCAUAAUCAAGUCAGUGCAUUUGUUAUGUUGCUUAGCUUUAUGCUCAGGCAUUGACUGGGCCAAUACAACACCUAUUACAAAUACCCAUCUUUCCAAAUGGGGUAUUUGUGCUUGAAUGUGCAUGCUUCUUGAAUCUUAGAUUGGUUCAAGCACUGUGUAGUUCUAUGGGGAUUAAACUUUUAUGGAAAAUUUGCUUAUUCCAAUUUAAUGAUUCGGUUCAGCUUUAUUCUCACUAAGAAGCUUUUAGGAAAGUGAGGCCUGAAAUUCUGAAAAAUCUGUUCACUGGUAUUAUUACUUGCUCGAAAAGAUAUAUUUCAUUGUUGCUUGCCUUUGAUGUUGAUUUUUUUCUCUUUUAAAGAUUAUAAUUCUUCUGCUUAUGCUAUCCUUUAUAUUUCAGGUUCAAUGUAUAUAAAUUCACACCCCUAUACUACUGUAUCAUAUAGGUGAAUUGGUUCCCGUGCCAAAUGUCAAGGACUCUUGCAGCAAUUCUAGGAGGUGCUGCAGGAGCCGUGGCAUUGGUGGGAAUAGUAAUUCUAAUAAUAUGGUUCUGCCUAUCUCAUAAUAGGAGCGUUUCGAGAACUUCAGAGACAGGAUCUUCUGAUCCCUCCGUUCAAGGUAAUGUUAUUAUGUGUACUUUCAAGAGGGUUUUGCAAGAGUCAAGUGCAAAAUAACAAUCAUUUUGUGAUUUAUUACUCUCAUAACUUGCAGUUGGAAGAAAUGUUGGAGUUGAGUUGGCAUUACGAGAAGCAAGGCACUUUGAGAUGGCCGAAUUGUCUCUGGCCACAAAAAAUUUUAGCGACAUAAGUUUGAUUGGGGAGGGAAAAUUUGGUGAGGUAUACAAGGGUUUGCUUCAUGAUGGGAUGUUUGUAGCAAUCAAAAAGCGGUUUGGAGGGCCUAGUCAGGACUUCGUUGAUGAGGUAAUAAUCACUUUUCUUACUUGGACUAAAAGUUAUAUGAUGCUUACAUAUAAGCACUUAUUCAAAUGCAUUUUUUGGGGCUAAUUGUUUUAAUUUCCCACUGCAUCACCCUUUUGAUUUCCUUACUUGCUUGGAUGCAGAACAUCUGUAUUUGGAGUCUGAAAUUUCUUCGAUGCCAUUCAUUCUUUACUUUUUCAAUUUUCAAAUUGCUGCUAUUUUUUUUUAUUGGCUUGAAAAAGUUUCAAAUGAAAGACUUGGAAGUCUAAAUUUUUAUUGGUGCAAGUAUCCUUCCUUUGUUUUAUUGUACAAAUUUUUAAUAUGCCAUCCAAUAUGAACAUUUUACAGGCAGCCUUCUUUACCUUGUUAUCUUUACAAUUUUUUCAAUCAAUGGUACACUACUCAACUCAGUUGCACAAAGAUUAACCUAGUCAUUGGGUCAGUAUGAUGAGAAUUCGAUUUUUCCCCCAAAUCUUCUCAAUCUAUGCCUUCUGUUAAAUCACAGGCAACAGUGUCGUCUUUCACUCGCUACUAAAUUGUAACCUACUCCAAAAGACUAAUUUAAGUCCACCUGACUCAACAAAGACUAGUUCAACUUUAUUUUAUUUGUGAUAUUUCCAUGUUUCCCAUAGUUAUUGUUUUUUCAUUUUAUUGUCAAUUGGAUCCAUUAUAACUGAACUUCCUAUCAGGUACGCUAUCUCUCAGCUAUUGAGCAUCGGAAUCUUGUGACUCUUCUGGGUUACUGCCAAGAAAAUGGUCAACAGUUCCUUAUCUAUGAGCAUAUUCCUAGUGGAAGUAUUUCCAGUUACUUAUAUGGUAAUUCUCCAUCCAAUCAUUAUUUUUUGCUUUUAUGCUGAUAGAUCACUUGCUCUUUUUUGCCAUUUUGUUCAUCCAAUAUAUUUAUGUCACCUCAUUCUCAAUGUGAUAUGUAUGUAUGGUCAUGACACAAUUGUUUUCUGUCUAAAAUUUCUUACUUUCUGGUCUCUUAAAGCAACCUUGGAUCCAUGAUAUUUUAUCUGAUAAAAUAAGCUUAACUAUCUAAAUUAUGUGGCUUUCUUUUUGCAGGCACUGCUGCUCAGGUUUCACAGGAGAAGCUAGAAUUCAAGAAUAGGCUUCAAAUAGCUCUAGGGGCAGCUAAAGGUGAUCCUCUGCAAAAUCCGUGAGCAUUUGUGGCUUUCCUGGUAUUAGUUUUCUUCUCUUUAGAUAAAAAUACCCGAAUAGCAAUAUCGGUCCCACAAACUUCUUUUGUAAGCUUCCAUAAGACUUUGAAUUAUUUGAAGAUUUCUUCAAAUUUCACUAGGGCUCUAGCAAUGCUUACUGAUUUUUGCAGCCUCAUUCAUUUUGUUUAUAUGCAGGUUUGGCUCAUCUCCACACCCUAAGUCCCCGUUUGGUGCAUAAGGAUUUCAAAACAGCGAAUGUACUGGUUGAUGAAAAUUUCAUUCCUAAGGUUGCAGAUGCAGGACUCCGCAAUUUUCUUGGAAGAAUUGAUAUUGCAGGCCCAUCUUCUCAAGUGGUGGCUGAUGAGAUAUUCCUUGCUCCAGAGUAUUACUCCCCCCCCUCAUCCCCACCCCCAUGCCAACACCCACACCUGAUGUUUUUAAACCUUUUCUUGUUACUUUUCAUGUGGUAUAUUGAUUUUGUCCUGUUUGUUAGUGCAGGGUAAGAGAGUUCAGAAGAUUUUCGGACAAGAGUGAUGUAUACAGCUUUGGGGUAUUCCUUCUGGAGUUGCUAAGCGGGCAGGAAGCAAACACAUUGCUGUCUCCAGACUCCAAUUUAAACUUGGUUGAAAUGGUAUUUAGCUGCCUCAUUUAGUGUUGUUGUACCAAAUGAUAUCACACUAAACAUACAAUUUAUAGGCUUGUAUGUGCAUGUUUGAAAAACUUUAGCUAUUCUCAUUCACAUUACUAAAGGAUUUAAUACCAGGUAGGAAAUGCAACACUUCUUUGAGAUACUGGCAGUUUGUCUCGUAACGAUUUUUUUACACUUUCUUUUCUUUGAUGAAGGUGCAAAAUUAUCAGGACCACAGCAAUAUUUCUACCAUCAUCGAUCAAAGACUAGGAAAUAGGUUCACAGCUGAAGGCAUGGAAGAAUUCAUACAGCUUAUAAUCCGUUGUGUGGACACUUCUAGUGAGAGACGACCCUCCAUGAGCUAUGUGUUAAUGGAACUAGAUCGGAUACUUGAGAAAGAGACAACCCUGACAACACUCGUGGGGGAAGGAAUACCAAAUGUGAUCCUUGGAAGCCAGCUAUUUAAAGCAUCAAAGUGAAAAGAAUGAGGAUUUGGCUUGUUUGCCUCCAAUUGUUGAGUGUGAUCUUUGUGAAAUACCUUUUAUUUUUUAAUUUUUUCCCUUUUCAAAAAAAGAAAAAAAGAAAAAAAAAAAACAUUAAAGGAGAUCCAGCUAUUUGAUAAGUGUAUAAAAAACAGCUGUAUUAUUUUUUGAUUUUUUUCUGCCAUAAAUGUAUGAGAAUAUUGUUGUAAGCCAUUAUUUGUUCAUAUCAUAAUGAAGGUUGGGUUCAGUGUGAUUUUGGUUAUAUCUGUAAAUGGGUGCUUUAACUUCUAUAAAUACCAAUUAUUAUCCAGAAUUAAAUGUAUUUAUUUCAUUUGGAUCUUCUUUGUGAGGUUGUCUGUGACAACAAAGUGUCAUUAGGACACAAAUUUGAGCAUCUUUGCAAAUUUUCCCCACCUCUUUCCUCAUGUCUUCUUGGUGGCUGAGAAUGGAGAGAAAAAUAAAAUAGAGCUUGGAAGAACUGCUGCAGGAUUCAAGCCUUCUUUUUUUCUUUUUCUAAAUCAUAUUUUAUUUUCUUGACAUCUUUGUAGUAAGAAGUUAUUGAUCACAGCCGUGGAAGUAUUCUCAGAUUUGUUUUAGUUGGUUAAUCAAGUGUCUUUUGUCUCAUGAAGCCUGCUACUCGUCAUAUAUACAACAAAUUGACAGCUGAAAGCAACAAAUUCCCAUUUUUAUUAGUUGGGAUGGAGGGUGUGGUUAGAAGAUGAGACAGGAAAACUAGAGUCUCCUAAGGCAAGGGGGACCGAUGGUCCAAUGCCUAAACUAGCCCUUUUGGGCAGUUGGAUGAGGCUUUGGUAAGUUCAAGUUGGAUGCUGUAGACAAAUGAAAGGCUCAGACUUGGGAGUUGUGUUGGUUAGCCUAGAAUUUUGAUAAUGGAUGUGUUUUCCCUCCCAUGAAUCCAUUACCUAAGGCCUAUCACCUCUUUUAUUUCCUGAAUUUUCUUGCUUGUCUUCAAUUUUCAGUGUGCUCCACCUGGCUGAGUGUUUAUAUAUCCAUUAAAUGCUGGCAUAUGACUUACCAAACAUGGCAACAAAAUGCCCUUCCUCAGCAGAUUUGCCAGCAAAAUUUGGUAUCAGGGUAGUGGUAGUUGGCCAUAGAAGAGGGCCUCUUUACUCUCUUGUAACCUAAUGACAGCAUGUCUUCAAGUUGGAGGAGAGUGGAAAUAUAUUUGAUAUUCACAAGUUGAAAACAAUGAGAAGGAUAACAUUAACAUUAAACAAUGUUUUGAUUCUAAAACAAUUUCUACUAAUAAUUGCAAUCAGUGAAUUAGGUAUAGACAUGCCCAAUUUCAUUUCACUUUCAUAUCUAAACUAUCUUGACCCAUUCAACAUUUUAGUGGUUGUUGGAUGCAAGGUUCCUUAGUUGUAGGGUCAAUGAUGUGAAACAAUGAAGUGUCAAGAGUUUGAAGAGGAGAAUACAAUUGGGUGAGACAGGAGAGGGGUAGGAGAAAAUGAUAGUAUGAUGAAAGAGAGAAUUCUAGGAGAUGAAUGAGAGAUAGAGUUUUUUUUUUUUUUUUUUUUUGAGUAUUCUAAAAUAAUAUCUGUAUAUUAAAUGUUUUAAAAAAAAUGAUGCAAAAGCUUUUUAAGAUGACUUGUGCUAUAAAAACAAAAUGAUUCCCUUUUUUCUUUGUCAUUCUAAUCAAAACAAGAAUGACACAUGUCAAUUAUUGCUUUGAUUAACUUUUAGCUUCAACUAUCAAACCAAUCCCAAAUCGUUGAUAGAAAGAUCCACUUCAUCAUUAAAGUGUGUCAAGUCUAUUGCUAGAGAUGACAAUAAUGCACUUCGAGAUGAGACACUUCCAUCCUAAUUCAACCUCAAUCCACUACAAUUAUUUGAAUAUAUUGUAAUCCUCAUCCAAACAAAAAAUAAAUAAAUAAAAAAUUAAAUAAGACAAGAUGGGUAUAAGAAUGUCUCAUACCUAUUACGUCAUUUAGUUUUUUUUUUUUUUUAAUUAUAUUAAAAAUAAAUAUAAUUUAUUAAUGAGAAAUUAUUGAAAAGCUUUAUAAUUUAUCUUGAUGAGAAAUAGUUUUUUAUUUUAUAUGUGUUUAAAAAAAUAAUUAAAAAUAUUUUUUUAUUAAUUAUAUAUCUAAACGGGUAAGGAAGGAGAAGACAAUACCUAUCUUAUAUAAUAAAUAAAUAAAUAAAUAAAUAAUUCAAAUUCCUAACCUAUUAAUCUUUUUUUCCAAACUUGUUCUAUUAGAAGCAAGAUAGAACAAUUACUUGAAAAAGAAACCCCCCCAAUUACAGUCUCUAACCUUACCUUAAACUCCACUCUUGAUUUAAGUAGGCAUAGUAUUCUAAUGUUACAUGGAGGAUAACACCUUCAAGAGCUAUAAGAUAUCAACUAAAUACAAUUAGUUUGGAGAAAAUAUUCAUCCUUUUAGGCACACAUGGCAUCACCUUUACUAGGCCAUGUAGUGGGCUAGACCCUUUUAUCAUAUACCAUUAGUAGACAUCCAUGUUCCCCAAGCAAUGUCAUUGGAGGUAAACAUUAAUGUCCAAAAUGAUAUAAGCAUCAUGGCAUAAUAUGUACACAAAAAUAAUUAUAAUCAGUGAAUUACGUAUAGACAUGCCCAAUUUCAUUUCACUUUCAUAUCUAAACUAUCUUAAAAAUAAUAGUAUGAUGAAAGAGAGAAUUCUAGGAGAUGAAUGAUAGAUAAAGGUUUUUUUUUUUUUUUUUAGUAUUCUAAAUUAAUAUCCAUAUAUUAAAUGUUUAAAAAAAAUGAUGUAAAAGCUUUUUAAGAUGACUUGUGCUAUAAAAACAAAAUGAUUCCCUUUUUUCUUAUCAUUCUAAUCAAAACAAGAGUGACAGUCAAUUAUUGCUUUGAUUAACUUUUAACUUCAACUAUCAAACCAAUCCCACAUUGGUUAUAGAAAGAUCCACUUCAUCAAUGAAGUGUGUCAAGUCUAUUGGUGGAGAUGACAAUAAUGCAGAUUCGAGAUGAGACACUUUCAUCCUAAUUCAACCUCAAUCCACUACAAUUAUUUGAACAUAUUAUAACCCUCGUCCAAACAAAAAUAAAUAAAUAAAAAUUAAAUAAGACAAGAUGUGUAUAAGAAUGUCUCAUACCUAUUACGUCAUUUAAUUUUUUUUUUAAUUUAAUUAUAUUAAAAAUAAAUAUAAUUUAUUAAUAAGAAAUUAUUGAAAAGCUUUAUAACUUAUCUUGAUGAGAAACGGUUUUUUAUUUUAUGUGUUUAAAAAAAUAAUUAAAAAUAUUUUUUUAUUAAUUAUAUAUCUAAAUGGGCAAGGAAGGACAAGACAAUACCUACAUUCACCUCGAUCCCCAUCCUAGAUUAUAUAUAUAUAUAAUUUCAAACCUAUUCCUAACCCGUUAAUCUUUUUUUUCAAACUUGUUCUAUUAGAAGCAAGAUAAAACAAGUACCGGAAAAAGAAACCCCCCAAUUACUAUCUCUAACCUUACCUUAAACUCCACUCUUGAUUUAAGUAGGCAUAGUAUUCUAAUGUUACAUGGAGGAUAACACCUUCAAGAGCUAUAAGAUAUCAACUAAAUACAAUUAGUUUGGAGAAAAUAAUCAUCCUUUUAGGCACACAUGGCAUCACCUUUACUAGGCCAUGUAGUAGGCUAGACCCUUUUAUCAUAUACCACUAGUAGACAUCCAUGUUCCCCAAGCAAUGUCCUUGGAGGUAAACAUUAAUGUCCAAAAUGAUAUAAGCACCAUGGCAUAAGAGGUACACAAAAAUAACAAGGACCUAUCCUUAUUUAGUUAGGAGAUGGAGGGUUAGGUGAAUAAGGUAUUAUAUUAGUAGAGAAUUGUCUUGAUCAUGUGAAACUAGGCCCCAAAGCAUGUGGCAUUGUAGCCAAUAAUAUUACAUAUUCAAGUGUCACAAGAUGAAUAUACAACAUACAAUGAUAGGUUAGUAUGGACUUUGGAAAAUAAGACAUUAUAAAUGGUCUUAACUUAAAUAUAGAUAAGAUAUUCAAAAUAAUUAGAAAAUAAAUUUUCCCUUUUAAAAUAGUUCAAUUUUUUUUUUCUAACUUUAUUUAUUUUAUCAAUUGAUGAUGUUGAUGAUGGUGUCUGGGUUAAAUAAGUUAAUAUGUGUGUGUUUGUAUUGUCAAGACGAAAAUAUUUACGUAAAAUAAAUAUUAUUAUAUAAUUAUAUAUAUAUAUAUAUAAACAAAAUUUAAAUUGUCGGGGAGAGAAUAUUUCACUAUUAUAUAUAAAAACAUGACAUUAAAAAAAAUAAAAAAUUAUAUAAAAUGAAUAUUAUUAUUAUAUGAGUUUAUAUAAAUUAUAAAUAUUAUAAAAAUAUCAAAUCAAACUCGAGUUCUACUUGAUUUGCCUAAACUUUAAAGCUUCUUAUUCAAAGGUCAAGUUUGAUUUAAGCUUCUCCAAAAGCUAAGUUUGAUUCAUGUUCCAUCGAGUCAACCUAUCUAAGCAGUUUUUUUUCAAUAUAAUUAUUUUAAAAAUAUAUAUUUAAAUAAUAUUUUUAUUUUAAUAAGAAAAUGUUUAAUAUGGAUAAAAAUCAAUGAAAGUGUAAUAUUAAUUUAUUUAAAUAAUGAUAAAAGUACUUAUCAUUACAUAAUUAUUUCAAAAGUAAGAAAAUAAAAAUAGUAGAGGGUAAAUUAAGCCUUUUGGAAUACAAUGACUUUUAAAAACUAUUUAAAAAAAUAGAAGUAUCAAAAUUUUUUUACUACCUUGAAUUUUAAAAAUUUUAAAAAUAAUUUUUAAGGAGACAAGUAGGAUUGGAUACAUUCCUAUCUCCUAUUUUUAAAAAUACAAAAAUGAUGUAAAAUGUAAGAAUUUAUAUGUGUGUGUAUAUAUAUAUAUAUAUAUAUUUUAAAAUUUAAAGAAGUAAAAAUUUUCACAAUUUUUUUUAGAAAUUUGAAAAAAGUUUUACAAUUACAAGAUAAAUCUCUAUUUUGGGAGAAAAAAAUCUUUUAGAUAUAUAUAUAAAACUCGAGAAAAUCGCAUGAAUAAAAAAUAAAAUCACUGUUUUUUUUUUUUUUUUUUGUCUCGAAUACCAAAAUUCAUUAUAAUUAUAAGAAACAUUCCUCUAAUGAAUUCCUUGUAACUUUUGUAGUAAAUGAAUUUUAUAAAAUUAUAAUUAAUUAAAUAUUGCAAAGUCCCUAUAUUUAUUGUUGGUCAGAAUUGGACUAUAAUGAAAUUUCAGUCUAUAUCGAUACCAUAGUCUCAUAUUAGGAAGGAAGAUUAGAAUUAGAUAUUGAUAGAAAAGUAAGGAUAUGAGCUCGUAUGAGUUGGAAACAAAAAAUAUCCAUUCUAGUUCUUUGAUCAACUAAAUCGAAAAGAAAUUUUAGAGAAUUUUUGCUAUCCUAUAUAUAUAUAUAUAUAUUUUGUAUAUUACUUUGGAUUUUUAAAAAUAAAAAAUAGGGAGUGUGCAGGGAAAGUCAAACGAGGUCUGAAAGCGAAGUAAGGGCCCAGGCCCAACCCAUUCUCAAAUGACUGAUGCCAAAGUCGAGUUCUUCACCGCCUUUUAAGGUUUGCUUGUAGUGCCAGAGGCCGCCAUCUAUAUUUACACAAAGCAUUCAACUCCCCAAUGCUGCGUUUGGAACUCUGAGAGUUCAAGGUACUGAUCCAAUCUCAUUUCCCAAUUUAAUCAAUCGAAUUCUAGGUUAGAUACAGUUGUUUAGAUGUUGAGAAAAUGGUCUUUUACCUAAAACUGAUGUAUGACUCUUUGGCUUAGCUGAUUGAGUUUUUUUUUUUUUUGGAAGUUUUGGCAGAGAAGUAAGUCAGACGAUAACAUAGGAAUAAAAAUGUGGUUUUCUUUUAUUUUUCUUCAUUUUCUUGGUUGUCAAACAGAGGGCUUGGGUUUUACUCGAGUGGUUUAUGACUUGGGAAUGCUGUUGCUGGAAGUUCUGAAUUGUAGGGUUUCUUCUGAAAUUUUUAUUAGAUUGAUGGUCUUUGCCAUUUUGGAAUGUUUAAUUGUAUAAAAAUAGAUUUAGUUUAAAUGUAGGGAAAAUAUAAGAAAACUAAUCAAAACUUUGAAUUGUAAAAUAUUCACCAUCGAGGAUUCGAGAAUACAUAAAAAUUGACUAGUGUUUGGCUUAGUCGACCAGAGUUUUUUUCCUCAUUUAUCGCUCUAUUUUCUUGGAAACUAAACAAAGGGCCAGGGUUUCUCUUUGAAUGCGUUUAACUUGUCAAUGCUAUUGCUGAAAAUUUUGAAUUUUAGGAUUUCAUUUUGGACUUAUGCUAAAGCUAAAACUUUUUAAAAUUAACUAUCUGGAUCUUUGUAAUGUUCAAUUCAUAUAAAAAAAGAUUUAGCUUGAAUUAACAUUCACUCACUUUACCAUGGAGACAUAAAUGGUACUCAACACGUUGCCAAUGAAUCCCAAUGUAAAUGGAAGCUUGGGAAAAAAAGCAAGAGCAACAAAAAAUUUAAAAACUCUUUAUCUAAAAAUAUGGAAAAAGAAGAACUUUAAAGUUUAAUAUAAGUAAAAUGACUUUUUAUGAAUGGUGAAUUUAUUAUGAAUUUAAGGUGAAUUUAUUACGGGUGUUGCAAUCUUUGGCAUUUUCUGCUCUUUUUGUUUGGUUUUUCUUGGGUGGUUAAAGAGGUUUUAUUAGGGUGGCAGGGCAGCAUUACUGGGAAAAAUCACAGAAAAGUUGAGAACAGCUCCCCUUCACUUGUAUUGGAUGUCAUGGAGGGAGCAGAACCGGAGAAUUUAAGGAUUUGGAGUAGUCGAUUCAAGCUUUAAUGGAGUCUUUUAUCUGUUCUUUGUUCUUGUGGACUAAGAAGUCUUUGGAUAUGGGUCCUAUGUCUCUGUUGGGCUUCAUGGAUUGUCUGAAUCCUUGCUAAGUUUUUUUAUGGUGUUGCAUUCAGCCCCAUUGGGCACUCAUUGUAUGCCUCUGGUGCAAGUAGGUUGCAACGCCCUUUUUUAGGUGCCUUUUGUAAUAAAUUCCUAAUUACUUGAAAAAAUGAAAAAGAAAUAUAGAGUUACAGCUUCCAUGGUGACUUACAUUGUUUGGCUCCUAGCCUAGAUCCACUUGCAAAAAUGGCAAGAAGUUGCAAUCACGAAAAGUACACACCAUAACCUGCAAAUAUGCCCUUGGAACCUCUCUCUAUCCUCUGCCAAAAACGCCAAAUAAUGAGCCCUAAUUAUGUUUGCAUUCCCGGCUUACAAACGAGGGCUAAAAUGUAUCAGAAAGCUCAUUUUUUUAGUGGUUACCAAGUUAAAAUCUUAUCUUCAAAAUAAAAAGGAUGAAUUCAAGACUACCCAACAAAAAAUUUAUAAUAUCGUUCAACUUACUAGAUAUAUUGGCUGUCUCCUUACUUCUUUGAGGUGCACUUAGGCUCCAAGGUGACCUUUGCCUAUUUAGCAGUUAGUGAUGAAAUUUCACCUGGUUUAGUUUCAUUAUUUUGACCUAUGUUUAUUAAAUUAGGUUCAGUAUGGUAAGGAUGGUGAGAACACGGGGUGAAGCUAGAGGUGCCAGGGGAGGAAAAUGUUGUUUCAUGGUGGAAUCCAAAUCUUUCGAGAUUUUGGUGGAGGAGUUGGGAGGAAAGCUAAAAGGCUGCAUUUGGGAGAGAAGCAAAGGUUUCUCCUCUUGGAUUAGAUUUGGGGAGGCUAGUUUAAGGUGCUUACUGGAUGGAGUAGAAGCUUGUUGCAGAGAGGUUAUUAAUCGAGCUUGGGCUUUUGGUUGGGAGGAGGGGAAUAGGAAGUAUAGGUUGGAGCGCCGGUCAAAUGAGGCAGGAAGGUUCAUCCUUUGCUUAGUUCGUGAUAUUGAAUCAAAAAAGUUCAACAUUAUUUUUCUAGAGGGGAAGGGACAGUCCCUUGGUUGGAACUCUUUGGCCGAGAGGUUGAGAGGUUUUGGUGUGGCUCCUUUGGGUGGCUUAUAGGCUCCCAAAGGGCCAGAGGUUUUAUUGAGGGAGAAAGAGGGCUUGAAGGUUCAAUGGAGGGAGAAAGGGGUGGAGUUGAAAUCUUAUGCAGAAGCGGUUAAGACUAGCCCGGGAAGGGUAGGCCGGUCAAUUUGGUUAGAGGUGGGGGAAAGAGAAGUGCGUGGAAGGUUAGAUUAGUUGAGACAGUGUCUAGUAGGCUGGUGGGGUCUUAACUCAACUUCUUUUCUUGAGUUGGAGUUCGUAAGGAGGUGGGCGACGCAGCAUUGGGAUUUAAAGGGGAAUAUGAGGAUUGCUAGGCUAGGCAGAGGUUUAUUGCUGUUUGAGUUCGAGUCUUCAAGUGAGGCUGAAUGUGUUCUAGCCACAAGAUCAAGAAACAUAAAGGAGAAUGUUAUUAUUCUGGACAGAUGGAACCCCGAGGUGGGGUGUCUAUGUAAAGAUGUUGGAGUUAAAGAAGCUUGGGUAAGGGUGGUUGGGCUCCCCCUUCAUCUAUGGAGCUCGGAGGUGUUCAAAAGAAUUAGGGAUGGGUGCGGAGGUUUUGUAGUAGCGGACGAAAAAUCGUUUUAUUCGUCUGAGAUGCAAUGGGGUCAGGCUGUUAUUCCCUUCAACUUUGGUGGGAGUCAUCUCCCUAGUUCACGCAGGUGGUGCUGGCGGAAGGCUUUGGUGGAGAAGAUGGCUCAAGGGAAGGAGAAGAUGAUGGUGGAACAUCACGUGCUAUUGGCUACGGAAGUCAAAGGGAGAAGUUGGAGUAGUUGAGGUUGAAGCAGGGAGUGCUUGAUGCGUCUUCUUCUAGAGGUGUUCCUUGCUUCUUUCAUGCGGUAACCUCUGACGUAGGGAUUGCAGCGGAGGGUAGGGUGGUUUUGUUGAUGGACGUGUGAAUGGGGGUAAGGUGCUUUCUGCUAAAAGGAUGGAAGAUUCAGUUUUUGGGCCAACAAGCUCUUGUUUUGGGCCUAGCAGUUCAGUUAAUGGGGUGUCUCAAGGCCCUUUUAAAGAAAGCGGGGAGCCCUAGGGCCCUUUUAAAGAAAUCCAAGAGGGGCCGGGCUGCAAAGAAGGGGAAAAGGGUGCGGGCUUUGGGCCCAUUGAUUCUUUCGUCAUUAUGGGCUGUAGGCCCAUUGGUUCUUUUGACGCGAUGGGUUGUAGAGAAGGGGCAAAGUGCGCGGGCCUUGGGCUUGCGGGCCUUGACGUAGUGGAUGGUAGGGCUCUAAUUGGGGAAGGAUCCUCGACCUCUCUUCCUAGGGCACAUUUGUUAUGCUUGGAGAGAGGCGUCAAUGGAGAGCCCAAUCCUCCUGUCCUAGGGGAAGAUCCUUUGGCCGCGCGUACUAGGGCUCGAACGAUAAGAAUGGAGCGAGGCGUAAAUGGGGUCGAAGACCCUAUUGUCGACACAACACUAGUUGCAAAGCCAUUGGAAGUCUCUGCGGUGGUGAUAAGAGAGUCGAUGACUGACGAAGUGCUGCGCAUUGAAGCUUUCAAGUAUGUCGAAAAUUCUGCGCUUUUUGUGGGAGGUCGAGAGCUCUCUUCUUCUUCUCUUUCUUUUGGGUUAGACCAAGUCGGGGUGAAGGAGGGGGCCUUGUUUGGUUUGGUCUCUGUGGUUGAGGGGGAGGAGCAACUUCCCCUGAGUAUUAUCCUGGCAGAUGACAACAGUGGGGAGUUGGGCACUGAGGGGGAGAAAUUCGCGGGUGGUUUAGGUGGAGGGGGGGUGAGUUGGAGAUUUUGUUACAGGAUUUGGAAGGAAAAGGAUGUUGGUGGGACGAUAGCUGCUUGGCGAGGUUCAGCAAGUUCCUGGGUUUUUCGACGGAAGGAUUUGAAGGCGAAUUGUUGAAUCUGCUCCUAAGGAUUGAGAGGAGAAGAGAACAGAAUAUUAAGAAAGAUAUCUAAGGAACCACAAAGUUUGACCGUGAAUUGAAAAAAUUGGAGUGGUCCCUAAAUUAUAAUGGUGCGAGGAAGGAGAAAUCUCUGGUUAGAAAUGGUGGGGUUAAAAUCUCAAACAUUAGAUGAAGAUAAAGAUUUUGUCUUGGAAUGUAAGGGGGGCCAACGAUAGGGUUAAAAGGAAGGUUAUUAAGGCUUUGAUCAGGUCGCAAAGAGCAGAUUUGGUGUGUUUGCAGGAGACCAAAAUUCAAGACAUGUCUAGGGGGAUUGUUCAUAGUCUUGGAGUGGAAAGAUUCUUAGGCUAGGGUGCCAUGAGUGCAAGAGGGGCUGCUGGUGGGGUGGUGGUGUUUUGGGAUAAAAGAGUUUUGGAGUUAGUUGGCAUGGAGGUGGGUCUUUUCUCAAUUUCAUGUCGAUUUAAAAAUUGCGAGGGUGGCUUCUUGUGGACCUUUACGGGAGUGUACGGGCCUACCUUGAAACGGUAUAGAGAAUUGUUUUGGGAAGAGUUAGGUGCCAUCCGAGGGUUGUGGUCUGAUCCGUGGUGUAUUGGCGGGGAUUUUAACGUGGUCAAAUUUCCCACCGAGCAUAGUAGAAAAGGAAGAUUGACUGAAUCCAUGAGAAGAUUUUCGGAAGUAAUUGAGGAGUUGGCUUUAAGAGAUAUGCCUCUUCAUGGGGGGCCGUUUAUGUGGAGUGGAGGGUUGAAUGGUCUUUCCAAGUCUAGAUUGGAUUGUUUUCUGAUUUCAGAGGAUUGGGAGAACCAUUUCAAUGAGGCGAUCCAGUGUUCUCUCCCAAGACCGGUAUCUGAUCACUUCCCAAUUUUGUUAGAUGGGGGUGGGGUGAGGAGUGGUCCAAGUCCGUUUCGAUUUGAGAACAUGUGGCUGAAGGAGGAGGGGUUUAAGGAGUUGUUAAAGGGCUGGUGGCAAGGAUUCAACUAUAGCGGGUCCUAUAGUUUUAUCCUGACAGAAAAAUUAAAGGCUUUAAAAUUAAAGUUGAAGGACUGGAACAGGGAAGUGUUUGGUAAAGUGGGGGUGAACAAAAGGUUGGCUCUGGACAAAGUGUUUUACUGGGAUAAUCAGGAAAGGCUGAAAGUCUUAAACGAGCAGGAGUUAAAGGCGAGAAAGGAGGCUAGGGAGGAUUUCAAGAAAUAGGCGCUUAUGGAGGAGAUUUCUUGGAGACAAAAGUCAAGA
rnacentral:lncRNA from 1 species